UCUGAGGGGGUUUCCUCGAAUUCAAAGCAAGUAUAAAAAUUCGAUUCUCCGACCUUUCCAAUGAGGAUCGAACAGGCCUUUUAUUAGAACCGUAUGAUAACUCCACACUGUUUUCAAAUAGUCAAUGUGAUCUAGAUUCUUCGUUAAUUUUUUCCACCUGACUGAUUGUUUACAAUUUUAUUUUUCACCGUCCCAAAUUUAAACCAUUUACGCGAUUCCCUGGAUUGCAUUUUUCUUUAAUGUUGACUUUACGAGGCAAUAGGACCCCCCAGCAACCCCACUAGGGCGACUUCAUGGGAACCAGAUUACUUUUGGAUCCAGAUAUGGUCCAGAAGAAAUAAGACAAAUCAAUUAAUGUCCACUAAAGUUUUGAUGGAACCCUUAGUCCGUGUUUCCUGUGGAUGUAUGUAUUGUAUGCACCUCAAUUUUCACCAAUCCCUGCUACGAGUCCCUUUAAUUUUGACGUUAUAAAUGUUUUUCCUGACAUUAGCAGAGUGUUUUUCUGCCGUCUUUGAGGACCUUCCACGGCCCAUAAACUAAUAAGGAUCGUCCAGUGAAUUUAGUCUUCCCCAGUUAAUUAUCCUGCGAGGGAAACUUGGGCAGUAAGUUGCCUACAUGAGUGGCUCCCGCCUACAUGAGUCAAGGGACCAUACGUCAGGACGACAACCAGUGUGGUCACACCAAAGUGGGUUGCCUGGACUCCAGGGUGGUCGCUUCAAAGUUGUCAAAUGAAGGCUAGCUUGGCAAGUUUUGGAAAACAAUUAUUGAAAAACAUUUUUCAUGAAUAACAGUUUCUAUGAACAGAUUUUAAGAAAGUUUAUUUUGUGAUUUUUAGGAAUAUUUUUAAUUUAAAUUUUUAUAUUUUUAAUUUUUUAUUAAUUUAUUGAUUAUUUAAUAUUAGCUUAAUUAAUGGAUUUUUCUUGGUCCCAAAUUAUUAAUUUAUCAAGAUUUAAUCGCAUCCAUAAUUAGUCUAAUUUCUUUUGGAGUGAGUGUGACAAAGUGCAAAUUUCUAGAGUUUUAUUAAUGUUAUUCAAUGUCAUAAUUUAACUAAUUAUAUUAAUUAUUUAUUAAUCAAAAUAAAUCAUUCACUUGAAAUAUGAUAAUUUAAAUUAAAAGUUUCAAUUAUUUAUUAAUUAGCAAAGUAUGAACUUUUCUUCUUGUUUUAUUAUUGUUAUUCCAUGUAUAUAAUUUAAUUAACUGUUUCCAAUAUUAAUCAAUAAAAAUAGAAUAUAAGCAUGAGAAGAAUUAGUAAAAUUCAUUGAUUUGGAAUUAGAUAGCUAGAGGAAGAACUUCAUCAUCUUCCCAUUACUUAAAUUUGUAUAAAUUCUAAAUAUUUAAACCCCCCCCCCCCCCCCCCCCCCCAAAAAAAAAAAAAAUGGUAAAGAAAGACUCCCCAAGCUUUCUUGGUUGGUGUUACCCUAAAAUUUGUACAAUAAGAUGAACCAUUUGGCUUAAAGCUUGGUGCGAAACCCCUUAUCAAUUGAAAAUAUCAAUGAAGUUGUUGAAUGGUUUUAGAGGACUAUUCUUAUGCAGAGUGGCAUAAGAAGCGAGGAGAUGAAGAGCGGAGAGACGUUAACAUCGGAUGCUGCUACGAAGGUGGGAAUACGGUUAAUUAAUUAGAUUUUGUGAUGGCUUUGAGUUUGAAGGAGUUAGUUUAAUGGGUAUUAUUAGUGAACUGAUAAUUGGAUUUGAUGUAAAGAAGGUUGGUCCAUUGGAUUAGCAAUUGGUUUGGCCUUUUGGGGGCCCCAUUUCCAAAUGCAUUGCCUUUUACAAGCAUUCAACAUCGCUGGACGUAACCAGGCUUGGUUCACCUAAAAGUAUCGCAUGGAUUGAAUUGACUAAGUUUUCAUUGUAGACUAGCCUUGAUUUUCCCUUGACCUGCCCACCAAAUCCUGAUGCCCACGCGAGGGAAUACCUCAAUUUUCUAAUAAUUUAUGCAGUUUCUCUUCAAAGCUCGUGUGAUCACUUGGGUCGGUAAAAUAAUGCAUUCCUCUACUUUUUCUCCCUUCCUAGAUGCAUGUUAUACCAUUAAUUCAAAUGUGAACAUGGGCUUGGCUUUGAAACUUGGUUCAAGGCCCAACAUGUUGACCCACAAUUGAGGUGUAAUUGAAUUUGUACACUUUUCGACUUUGAUACCAUUUGUCAUUACCAUUGACAUUGGGUCAUUGUUGAUUUUGAGUCCACAACUUUUAAGGUUGUUAUUACAAUUUUAAAUUGCGCCCACCCAAUUUAUAUGCAUUAUCCCUUAUAAAUACCGAUAACCUCUCUUUCUUCGAUAAUAUAAAAUGUCACAUAUAUUAUAUAUCUCAAUGUUUUCUUUUACUUUUUUUUUUUUUAUCGAUCGACAUUCUCUCUCAGAUGAUAUGAGAUGUCACAUAUAUUAUAUGUUUCAAUGUUUCUUUUACUUUUUCUCUUUUUCCUCAUGAUUGACAUUGUCUUUCUCAAAUGAUAUGAGUUGUCACAUAUAUUUUAUGUCUCAAUGUUUUCUUUAACUUUUUUUCUCUCUUCUUUAAUGAUCGACGUUCCUUUUCUCAGAUGAUAUGAAAUGUCAUAUAUAUUAUAUGGCUUAAUGUUUUCUUUUACUUAUUCUUUCUUUAUUAAUAAUCGACAUUUUAAGCAAUAUGUGAAUAUAAAGCAUUAAAAUUAUCUCCAUCGUUUUUGGAUGUGGUAUAAAUACACAAUUCUUAUUUUUGUUUUAAAUAUUUCUAUUGCUAUCUAUUGAAAUUUUAUGCAUGAAGCUACCAAGUUAAUUAUACAUAUAUCUUAAGAUUUUUUUUUUUUUUUUUUAUAGGAUAUAUUGUCCAUGAAUAUUUUCUGCAAUGGUAUCUUGUUUGAUUACUAUAAGAAAUAAUAUAUAUAUAUAUAUAUAUAUAUAUAUAUAUAUAUAUAUAUAUAUAUAUAUAUAUUAUAUUUCAAUGUUUCAUAUUUGCUUAAAAUAAAAAUUAUAUUUUAUCACAAUAUUUGGUAUUAAAAAAAAUGAAAUCUCUCUCAUUUAUUAUUACAAAAAAAUUAUAAUUUAUAAUUUUCUAAAUAAGUUUUAUUUAUUUGCUAACUAUAUUCAUGAUUAAAAGAUUUAAAAUUUAUAAAUAAAAAAUAUUAUGUCAUGUCAUUAAAUAAAUAAAAAUAUAUGUAUAUAUUAAAAUUAUGUUUUAUUGUAGCUUUUAAUAUUUUUUUUUUUAUUCUUUUCUUUUUUGAACUACAAUUUUAAUUUUUUUUAAUCAAAAUUUUUUAAUUUACAAAACGAGUAACAUAAAACUUGCCUUUGAACUUUAUUGGAAUGUUAUAUACUACCAUUUGGCUUUCAAGACAUUAGAAAAGGCAUAAGUGUCCCUUUUAUUUUUCCGAAAGGCAUAUUAGACUAUAGUAGGAAGUGUUGUAUAGAGGCAACUAAAAGUUGCCUUUAACUUUAUGAAGUCAUAUACUCCUCUUUGGCUUUGAUGACAUCAACUAGCAAAUUGGAUUUUGUUUCCUUUGCAACAUUUUUCCAUCCAUUAGCCAGUUUUUUUAUACUGUUUGGUGCUUGCCAACAUGGCACACACUAUGGUUCUUAAAAAGUAUUUUUUUUUUUAAGAUACUACGAAAUAAAAUACACGAUUGAAAGAUGAGUCACAAUAAUUUUCAAAACUAAAUUUUUUAAUAUUGUUAAGAAAAUUUGACCACCAAAUGAUUGAUUUUAAAUUACAAAUACUUUUGUUAGCUAAGAAAUUUGUUGUUCUAUUUGUUUCCCUAUAAAUAUGACAACAAUCAUAAAUAUUUUCAUUUUAAGAUAAUUUUCAAAUAUCUUCCAUUAAUAAUAUAAUAGAAUUAGGAAUUUUUUUUUUAGUUAUAACAAUCUAUAAUUAUUUAAGAGUCUUCCUCAAUCUCUAGGUUUAAGAACUUAUUGUUCUUAACAACUAACAUGUCAUCUCUUAAAAUAAUACAUUCUGCAAUAAUUAUUGAAAUAUGAUAUAAUAUAUAUAUCUACUUACAACCAUUUUUGUAGUACCAUUAGAAUUUUUAAUUACCCAUUCUAAAGUAUUUUUAUUCUCUAUUCUUAAACCAUCAAAAUUUAAUUUAAAUCUUUCAUUAAUUGGAUAAAUCCAAUGAAUCUAACAAGUUAAAGGAUUAUGAAUCCGACAAAACAGUUGAUAAUAAAUUAAUAAUGCCAUUAAUAUGAUUUUAAUGUGAAACACAAUUAUCACAUUUAAUACAGUUAGUCCUUGUAUGAUUAAUGUUUUGGAAGCUAAAAUCAAUCUUUUGACUAUAAUAAGAGUUUCUACUAUUUCUAUUUUUGGAUGAUUUUAUAUUUUUCUUAUUGUUUUAGUUUAAUACAAAAAAUAAAAAUAAAAUUACAUUAGUAGAAUUUUUUUAACUUACUCAAAAACCUAUUUUAGUUGAAUGAUUUUUUUAAAAAAAAUAUAAAUAUUUUGUUAAAAGGGAUAAAAUAACCUUACCUUGUGAAAAAGACCUCUUCACCCAAGAUUACUUGUUCAUAAUCCUUUUAAGACGAAAAUGCCCCCUUCCUAAAAAAUAUUUCAUCUUAAACUUAUUUUUCUUUUUAUUGCCCUUUGUUCCAUCCUUCCGGCUUGGGAGAGAAAUUCAUUCUUCUUUUGCGAAGAAAAAUUCCUAUUGCGAUUUUUCAUUUCAAGUGGAAAAAAAAAUUCUUAUUUCAUUUUAAAGAAAUUGUACAUUUUCAAUCUUUCUCUUUGUUCCUAGUUGAGGGUUUUUUUUGUAAUUUUAUCUUAACACUACAAAUUUAAAGGUGAGAUUAAAUCUUAAUGGUUAUUAGUUAAAUCACAUAUCUAACUUUGUUUUUGUCAGGACCUAUAAUAUGAUUGGAACCACCAUCCAAACUUCAUUAGGUGGGAUACUCCCCACCCUCCCCCUCCCCCCGCGAAAUCCUUGGAUUUUAGUUUUGACUUGGAUUUCAAUUGCCCGUAUCAAUUUUUCUUUAUUUAUUAAUUUAUUAAUUUUCAACUUUAACAAAAGCCUUGAAUCAUAUUUAAAUUCAAAUAACUUAAUCCUAAUUAAGUUCUUUUUAAAUAAAAAUUAAUCAUUGAAAAGUUCAUGUGACUAUUAUAAUUGAGAAUUUAUCCCAAGUUGGGUUUUUUGCAAAUAAAAUUUUAUUAUAGGACAUCAUGAUGCAACAUAACAUAAGGUUGUUACUUAAGUUUGUUUUGACCUUGUAAUAUGUUAAAAUGAAAAUGAAGCCAUUGUAACAGGAGAGAAUGAUGAAGCUGUGGAGAGAGCUUAACAAAGCUUGGGUUGGAGAGACUUCACAGGAAGAGAGAGAGAGAAAUAAAGGGUAAAAUUAUCAAAAGAGAAAAGAAAAAAAAAAAAAAAAAAGAAGGUUAUGUCUUCAAAUAAUCAAUAAGAGAUGUCAUUUUUCUAAUUUUCAAAGUUCUUUUGGUCCUUCUCUACAAAUAUCCCUAUAAAAAUAUUAUAAUAUCAAGUUAAUUUGUCAAUACCAAAAUUUAUAUUUUAUAUUAGGGCGACUAAAUAACAUAUAGAAAGAAUUUUAAAUGAGUAAAUCAAAUCAAUUUUGAAACCAAAACUUAAUAAUUACCAAACUUGUAAUCUUAGUCAUUAAAAGUGUACGAUGAAAUCUAAAUUAUUAAGCAAUGAAACAAAAAAUUAAGAUUAAAAUACAAAACGUUAAAAUCAAGAUACAAACUAUUAAAAUGUAAGUGGGAUAUGAGAUGAUAUUAUAAAAAAUAGUGUGAUCCAACAAAAAGUCUAGUACAUCAUUAUCUUCACUUCCAACCAUGUUUAAAAGGUCACAAGUUCUAGCGGUUUCCAAGGACAAUGUUAAAAAUAAUAAAAAUAAAUCCAAUUAAAUAUUAAUUAAUUUAUUUGAAUUUGAGUCCGACAAAAUAGUUGGUAAUAAGUUAAUAAUGCCAUUAAUAUGAUUUUAAUGUGAAACACAAUUAUCACAUUUAAUACCCGUUAGUCCUUGUAUGAUUAACUUUUUAGAAAUUAAUAUCAAUCUUUUGAUUAUAAUAAGAGUUUCUACUAUUUAUAUUUUUGGAUGAUUUUAUAUUUUUCUUAUUGUUUUAGUUUAAUACAAAAAAAUAAAAAUAAAAUUACAUUAGUAGAAUUUUUUUUAACUUAUUCAAAAAACCUAUUGUAAGGUGAAUGGUUUUUUUAUUUUUUUUUUAAAUAUAAAUAUUUUCUUAAAAGGGAUAAAAUAACCUUACCUUGUGAAAAAAGGCCUCUUCACCCAAAUUUACUUGUGCAUAAUCCUUUUCAGACGAAAAUGCCCCCUUCCUAAAAAAUAUUUCAUCUUAAACUUAUUUUUCAUUUUUAUAACCCUUUGUUCCAUCCUUAUGAUUUGGGAGAGGAAGUCAUUCUUCUCUUGUGAAGAAAAAAUUCCUACUGCCAUUUUUCAUUUCAAGUGAAGAAAAAUAUUUAUAUUUCAUUUUAAACAAAUUGUACAUUUUCAAUCUCUCUUUGUUCCUAGUUGAGGUUUUUUUUUUUUUUUUUUUUUUUUGUAAUUUUAUCUUAAUUGUACAAAUUCGAAGAUGAGAUUAAAUCUAUAAUGGUUAUUGGUUAAAUCACUUAUCUAACUUUGUUCUUGACAGAUCGUAUAAUAUGAUUGGAACCACCAUCCUAACUUUAUUAGGUGGGAUCCCUUUUUUUUUUUCCCCAAACCCUUGGAUUUUAGUUUUGACUUAUAUUUCAAUUGUCUGUAUCACUUUUUCUUUAUUUAUUAAUUUUCAACAAGUUCUUUAACAAAAGCCUUGAAUCAUAUUUAAAUUCAAAUAACUUAAUCCCCAUUAAGUUCUUUUUAAAUGAAACUUAAUCAUGUGAAAGUUCAUGUGACUAUUAUAAUUGAGAAUUUAUUCUUAGUUGGGUUUUUUGUAAAUAAAAUUUAGUUAUAGGACUGUGAUGAUCCGUUCUCAACCGUAUAAAUAUUGUUCGUUUUGAAUUCAAAAUAACUUUUACGGCUUUAAAACAUGUUUACAAGAUUAAGAGGAGUCCAUAUUUAUAUAGCUUCACGAACUUUCCCCCCUAUUCGAUGUGGGAUGUCACAAGGACAUCAUGAUGCAACGUAUAACAUAAGAUUGUUUCUUAAGUUUGUCUAACCUUGUAAUGUGUUAAAAUGAAGAUGAAGCCAUUAUAACAGAAGAGAAUGAUGAAGUUGUAGAGAGAGCUUAACAAAGCUUGGGUUGGAGAGACUUCAUAGGAAGAGAGAGAGAGAGAGAGAGAGAAAUAAAGGGUAAAAUUAUCAAAAAAGAAAAAAGAAAAAAAAGAGGGUGAUGUCUCCAAAUAAUCAAUAAGAGAUGUCAUUUUUCUAAUUUCAAAGUUCUUCUGGCCCUUCUCUACAAAUAUCCCUAUAAAAACAUUAUAAUAUCAAGUUAAUUUGUUGAUACCAAAAUUUAUAUAUUAUAUUAGGAUGACUAAAUAACAUAUAGAAAGAAUUUUAAAUGAGUAAAUCAAAUCAAUUUUGAAAUCAAAACUUAAUACCUACCAAACUUGUAAUCUUAGUCAUUUAAAGUGUUCCAUGAAAUCUAAAUUAUUAAGCAGUGAAACAAAAAAUAUAAGAUUAAAAUACAAAACGUUGAAAUCAAGAUUCAAACUAUUAAAACGUAAGUGGAGACGUAAGAUGAUGUCAUAAAAAAUAGUGGGAUCCAACAAAAAGUCUAUUAAUCAUUAUCUUCACUUCCAAUCAUGUUUAAAAGGUCACAAGUUCUAGCGGCUUUCAAGGACGAUGUUAAAAAUAAUAAAAAUAAAUCCAAUUAAAUAUUAAUUAAUUUAUUUGAACAAUAGAUAGGACCAAAAUAAUAUUCUAAAAGGAAUCAUAGGGAAGUCCUUGGACAACCUACGACAUUGAACAAAGGUACAGUGAGACAAUGCACUUAGCCCUUCCUUGUCAUUGCGAUGAAUAUAAAAAGACACCCUGAUUGAGGGUGCCCCACUAAGCCAAGAGUGAUUCUUUUGUAUUGUAUAACGUGAAUAUUUUUGAACUUUGAAUGACCCUUCCUAUAGUCAUCAUUGUCAAAACUAGAAAAUCAGAAAGAUGCGAUGUACGAAGGCACCAUUGAAUAAGAGGCUUAAUUCUCUUUGGCAAUUAGGAUAAAGUUUCAAAAUAGAAAAAUUAAACAAAUGUACAGUGUACGGACACUUGGGCAUUGCCUAUUUGUUUUGUUCUUCUAGAGUUGUAUAUGGUAAAGGUCAUAUUGGGUUGGUUCUAUUUGGUUAUUGAAGUCGGCUAGAAUAUUAGAUUUGGUUUCAAUCUAAUCCCAUAUGAUAUUAGAAUACCAGCCCAUACAGAAUUUUUGACCAAAUAUAAUAUUUCUUUUAAAUAUAAAUAUAGUAAUUAAUUUUAGUCUAAGAUUAAUUAUGUAGUUUCCUAAAGAGACCACUUCCUAAACGGUAGCUAUGUGGAAGUUGGGCCAGGUCCUGCCGAGAAGGUUUCCACGAGCUGAGCCCAAAACUGAGUAGCUGUGAUGGGAUCAUUCUAGCAUUCAGCCUGAAACUUGUAACAUAACGGAUCGAGAGGCCUGAACUCCAAGACCAUGGUUCGUCAGCCCAUUAACUUCAACAGCACGCAUUUUAGAGGACUGGGCUUGCAAGGGGUGAGGUUUCCGGGCCGCGACCCCAAAUAUGAACAGCCUCAGAAGUGAUAUUGCUUACUGGCACGUGAAGAGCGCAAGCGUAACUAGAAGAUUUGUAAUGCCGCUUUAAUUGUUUGAUUAUAGAAUCCCACGCAUUACGCAUGGAAAGUGUAAAAGAUAAAAGAUGUAGAAUUUUUUCUUAGAGAAAAGUUCGUUUGGAUAUAGUUAUUGUUUUUUUUUUAAAUAAUAAUUGUUUUUUUUAUAAAUUAUAGAUAAUCUUAGAAAUUUAUCUUUAAAAAAAUAGUUUUUAAAAAUAUUUAAGGAGAAUAAAAGUGAUAAAAAAAAACUUUACAAUUUCAAAUUUUUAAAAAAUGAAAAUUAUUUUUAAGAAUAUAAGUUAAUCUCCUGCAUUUAAAUCUUAGGUGGUUUUUGUUUUUUUUACUUUUCGCUGAAAACAAUUUGUUUUCAAAAUUUAGGUCAUUUGUUUUUUCUAUUUUUUCAUGAUUUAUUAUAAAUUUUUUACUAAAUAAAAAAAAUCAAAAUAUGUAACUUUUUCUAAAUAAAAAAAAUAACGUAUUGAUUUUUCUUUACUUUUUAAUACUUAAUAGAUAUAAAAUACUACAAAAACAAAAAAUCUAAUAUUUAACACUAUUAAGCAUUAAAGUUCUAUUUAGAAUUAAGUAAAAAAACAAACACCACCUUAUAUUUUAUAUAAAAGUUACUUAUAUUUUGGUUUUUGGAAAUAAAAAAUAUAAAGCAUAUCCAAACAUGAGCUUAGCUAUUUUAAAUCAUAUCAAAAUAAUAAUCCCAAUAAGGUAAAUGGACUUUUAUACGGAGAAUAAUCUUUAAGGUUUUCAUUUUUAUUGGAUUUUUUUUUUGUGGUGUUUUUUCAAUCCAUCUUCUCAAUUAAUUCCUUAAAAUUAUUUUACUGUUUUUUUUUUUUUCAGUUUCUAAAUAUUUGAUUUUUCCAAAAUGCUUAAAUGGAAGACACUAAUUUUUCAAGAUAUUUGGUAUUACAAUUUUCCCUGUUCUCCCUAUUAUCUAUCAGAUUCAUGGCCCUUUUGUUUUUUCAUUGGUUUUCAAUUUAAUUUUCCAAAUAUUACAUUGUUGUGUUUUGAAUUUGUGAAACCAAUUUUAUAUAUAUAUAUAGUAUGUAAGUCUACUUUGGGUAACAUGUACAGAGAGGUUUUCAUGUGUUUGAAACCUUUUACCUCAAAAAUUAAUUAUUUUUAAUUUUAUAAUAAAUCUUUUUUUAUUUUUUAUUUUAUUUAGGAAAGCCUAUAUUUAAACUACAUGUUUGCAACGCAACACCAUACAUACUCCUAGUGGAACUUACCUUAGUGCUUGAGGGGGAUGCAGAUCUUCUUCUAAACCUAACUAAUAAGCAUAAAAUUGUUCACUAAUUAGCAUAUCUAGUAAAUCAUACAAAUUGGCAAUAUUUCAUGUUUUUCAUGUUUUGUCAAUAAAAGGCGUCUUGACCAUUUUGUGAGUUUUGUAAUAAAUAAAAAAAAAAAAAAAAAAAGGGCAAAAGGUGACUAAAAUGAGGCACUUUGGAAAGGUUAAUAACCUAAAAGGAAGAUGAAUUAAUACCCCCUUAUUCCUCUUCAAAAACCAUUGAGAAAAUGCAAGAAAUGCUCUUAGUUGUAUGCUAGGCUAACAGCCUAGCAACCAUAAUACCCUUCUUUGCAAUUGUAAGCAUUUUUUUUUUUUUUUUGAAGGCCAAACAACGUUGCAAACUUCCCAAAUCCCUUCUUUAUUUUUUAUUUUUUUAUUUUUGUUUUUAGAAGGAGAAUGAAUUUGAUGACAAACUCCUUGUCAAUCUUAUCCAAACCACGAUCGAACAGAACUCCUUGUCAAUCUUAUCCAAACCGUGUUCCACCUCAAAAACAUGUGUAGGACUUAAGGCAGCAACUGGCAAGCAUGACUGAUAGGGCCAAGUGCCCUUGUCUCUACAAUCCAUUAAGUUAACCAAGGGCAGUGAACCAUCAUUCUUUUCAAAAGCUUCAUUCCGUGUUGAAAAUGUGAGACUGAAGCAUGGUGCCCCCAAAAAUAACGAUCUAUUUACUAGCAGCAUGCCUGGACCCAUUAAAAAUACUCUACUUUAGGAAUAGAAAAAAUUACAUCUUUAUCCAAUAAUUUUAUAACAAUUCAGACGUUUCAGUCUAUAAAUAAUUGUACAUAGUUGCCAACGUUUAGCUAGUUUCAAAUGAAUAGCCUAGGUUCAUGCACCAGUUUGGCUGGUGGAGGAAAGGGAUUCGAGACAUUGAACCCUCUUUUUAGUGUGCCAAAUAUUCCACAAAAAUCACUACCUUCUCUUUGUGUUUGUUCACUUUUAGUUUAUAUUUAAUAAAUCUAUGUUUUCGAGUAGAGGUUGGGUUCAGGUGCGACCCACGUCACCUCUCGGACGGUCUUGAAAAAGGAGACCGGACCACGUAAUUUCAAAUGUAGUGACCAUCUCACUUUUACCUCCAUCCUUGAAGAUGGUUUCCCAAAUCAAUAUUAAUCUUUUGUUUACGACAAUAUCGAUCACUUUAUGUCUAUAUCGUUGUUAAUUUACCUUUUUUUUUUAGCCACAUUAUUUGAAAAUUGAUGCAAACUUUACCAACAUCUUGGUACCAUUUUAAAAUAUUAGAGUUAUUUGAUUAAAAAAAUAAAAUAAUCUCGAUAACUUGUUUAUAAAAUAAAUAUCUUUUAACAUUUAGACUAUUCUCACGCAUGCUUUAAAAUUGUAAAGAUAUUCAUAAAGUGGAACUUUAGACUUAAUCAAUAUCGAUCACUUUAUGUCUCUAUUGUUGUUAUAUUUUUUUUUUACAACAUUAUUUGAAAAUUGAUGCAAACUUUACCAACAUCCUAAUACCAUUUUAAAAUAUUAGAGUUAUUUGAUUAAAAAAAUAAAAUAAUCCCGACAACUUGUUUAUAAAAUAAAUAUCUUUUAAUAUUUAGACUAUUUUCACCAUGCUUUAAAAUCAUAAAGAUAUUUAUAUUCAUAAAGUGGAACUUUAGACUUAAACAUGAUAAUAGUUUUUUUACAAUAUUAUAAUUAUUUUAUCGUUUUAAUUAAGCCCUUUAUCAUACAUAUAAAUGUAAAUUAAUGCUAAAUUUUUAAAGCAACGUAUAACCUUUUACAUCUUUUUUUAAGAUGGUGCGAAAAUCCUAUGAAAAAUAAUAAAAGUCGAUGCAUAAGAAGAUUGUUUUGAUAAUUCAAUAGAAAAAUUCUUUUAAAAUGAUAUUAAAAAAUACCCAUAGAGCCUUUAUUAAAAAAAUCAAUUAUUUUCAUAAUAAAAAUUAUAAUUUUUUAUUAUGUAUUAUUAUUUUUAAGUAUCUUUAUUACAAAUACUUUUUUUGAGUUUAUGAGAGGAAUCAACAGGUUGGUACAAGCUUAGGCGUCCUCGUACAUGUUCCCGCUGUGCAAGGUUUUUGUCUUGUUUCGAGCUAGUCGGAAUUUACGUGUUUGAUAACGUUUUGUCCUAUUUUUGUAACGCUUUAAAGGGCGGCCCACCGUUGGAACAGUUCAAGCCAUCCAAAUCAGCCCGGAGGGUUAUGGCGACGUGGCAUGACGCCUACCACCUUAGUUCACAUGAACCCUAUGAUCGUACUACCCUCACAUGACAUCUGUGAUUCUUCACCUCCAAACCCUCUUUAACUUGGUAAUGUAUUCAAAGCUUCAUCAAAUCAUAGCGAUUAGCGACCCUCUUCCACCCUAAUUUUAUAAUAAAAAAUAAAUCUUAGUGGACAUUAAAGUAGUAUUUUGUGGGGGGAAAGAAAAACUCUAUGGGCGUAUCCACUAAAUACGAGCCAAGUAUAAGAGUUAUCACCAUGGAAUCAAAUUAUGAAGCAUUGACAUUUUAAUUGUAUUCAGAUUUGAGGAGGGCACCGCGGCACCAGCUGGCCCAGUGUAGUCUGCUAGCCUACCCGCCAUAAUGACCAAAUUAAUAAAGUAAAAAGGAUUACAGGGAUAUUCCCAACUUUAUUCUGGGUCUGAGCUGGAACUUGGGAGUUAUCACGAUCAACGGGAAAGAUGGUGGGUAGGGGACGAGGAUUGAGGGCUCCAUAUUCACAUCAGUGAAAAACGAAAUGUAUUGAGACAAGUCUUCUAAGGAUUUUCUAGCGUAUUAUAUGGUUUAAAUGAUUAUAAAUCUGUAGUUACUGGUAAAGAGUAGAGAGUGAAGACGAAAGACGUUGAGUGAAAAGGAAGGAGGAGAGGGGAUGGGGCCAUCUUACCGUGUCGGGGAGGAUCCAUAAAAGGACUACGUUCCCUGAAUCUGUAGGCAUCAUGCCUCGCCUAACGGGUUAGUCAAAAUACAGUGAUGUGUGUGAGUUGGGGGCCUCACUCCUCAUUUCUUUCCUUCUUUUCACCCCCACCCCCACUUUUUUUUUUUUUUUUUCGAAUUUUUCUUUGUCCUUUUCUCUCACUUGCGCACGCGGGAGAAGGACCACAAACUAGACAAUUCCUCUGCUCACGUGACCCCGAGUUUUUAAAUAUUUGCCUAUUUGGAAAAUAGUCAUGAAUCAUGAUCGUUAACAAACAAUCUUCACUUUAUUUAUUUAAGAUCUAUUUUUUGGAGCUCUAGUUUAGUUUAUUAUUAUUAUUAUUAUUAUUAUUAUUAUUAUUAUUAUUAUUUAGUAACUCCUCUUAUAUUAAUGAAAAAGAGAGGAGGAAUCCAAACUUGUUUAUUCUUCCUCUUUUAAGGUGUUUGUUUUUUUUAUUUUAUUUUUAUGCUUCAUAUGUCUUCAAUUUCUUAGCAUUUGUCUUAUAUUUCUUCUUAUCCGAUUCAUUAUUGCAUCCUUGGUCAAUCUUUCACGAGGAGUGCCUACUUUUUUCCUUUUUAUUAUUUAAUUCACUUUAUCUUUAUAUUUUCCUUUUACACUUUAUUUCCAAUUCAAAACGUGUCAAAAAAAAAAAUUGGUAACAAAAAAAAAAAAAAAAAUCAAUUGUAAUGAUUCUUAUAUAAUUUUAUUUAAUUUUUAUUAAACAAUAAAGAAAUUAAAAAUAUAUAAAUUUUUAAAUAAUUAUUAUAGUCUUUCAUUUUUGUGUAUAAUUUCUUUUGCAAGAAAUAGUGUAGGCUUUCCACGGUCUAAAGGAAAUGGAAUAUCAAAUGAGAAGGUAAUAAUAAUAAAGUGAGUUAUAGAUACUAAUCAAACUAAUCCACUAAUGAAUUAUUUAUUUUUAUUUCACAUGGACAAAUCCUAAAAGUUGGAGUUCUAAUUUACUUUUAUGUUAAGCUUUUUUAAGUAAAAAUCUUUUAUUAUUAUAAUUUAUAGACAAAAAGAAACCCAUUAAUGUGAUGGAUAAAAAAUUUCAAUUUAAAAAAAAAAAAAUUAAAGUUGCUAAAUUUUUGUAUUUAUUAUUUCAAACUCAUUUAAAUAAUUUAAAAAUAUGUCUUCAAUUAAUUUUAAUGAAACAAAGCAUGAUUUUUUUUUAAUUUUUUUUUCUUUACCAAAUAAAGCAUUAUUAUAAUACGUUGAUUAAAUUUUCAUCAUGUCUCUCAAGAUUUGGAUUAAAUAUACUUAGUUGUCAUAAAUUUGAAAUUUUAUUUAAUGUAUUUUUUAUUUUAAAUUAAAAAGAUGAAUGCAAAUAAAAAAAAUAUGUAUAUUUUAUAAAAUUUUAAAUUAAACGAAGGAUACGUGUAUUUAACCAAGGUGAAUGAAAUUAAUCCAAAUACUUUUUGGUAACUUGCAAAAUAUCUUGACGAAAUCAUUAUGGCAGGCAUCGUACAAGCUCAACCCUUGUCGCCUUGCUAGAAAUAGAGAAACAAAAAGACCCCCAAAUUGGGUUGCAUCCUAAAUAUGAAGAAGUGGUAACAAAGGAAGAAAAAAUGCUGUGUUAUUGAAUAGUUAAUACAUUGAACAUGAUAUGUUACAUAGAGAGCCAGAUUAAUCCUAGUGGAAUUCCACUGUCACGAUGGUAACCUAGGGUUAUGUUUGGUUAUUGAAAAUACCAAGAAAAGAAAAAAAAAUAUAAAGGAAAAUAAUUUUUUCAUUUUUGAUUGUCUUAUAAAAGAUAUAAAAAAAAAACAAAUAUAAUUAAAACUAAUUAAAAAUUUAGGUAUUUUUAAAUUAUUUAAUUUUUAUAUUAAUGAGCGAAAAUAAAUAAAAUAAGUUUAAAAUAACAAAAAAAAUAAUUUACCGAUUUUUAAUCUAUAUUUUAUUUUACUUUUUCUUUGUAUUUUUUUUUUCUUAUAUUUUCCCUCAAAUUUUCUGAAUCAAACAUAGCAAAAAAGGAGCUACCCCUUUCGAAAGAAACUCCCAAGAAUUUCAAAGAAACCUGCUGAGAUAAUGAAUGAGGGAUCACUGUCGGUAAACAGUAUCCAUUCUUUUGGGAGGACUUUCAAACUGAGAAGUUGUUUUCAUGACUUGGAAACAAAAUUUUGAGCUCUAAGGGGGUCUGUAUUUGGGCCCUAAAAUUCAAUCCAUCAAUCUGAAAAAUGCUUAGGAUAAUGAUUUGAUUUAGCCACAAUCACUAAACAAAUUCCAGAGGAAAAUUUCGCUACUCAUAGGUGGCUGAUUCUCAUAAAAAGACAUCGUGGUAGGGUGUCUCAAGUGCAGGCUCACCAUCAACUUGCUGCCCUUUUUAGAUUAUUGUAAAAUGAUUUCACAUGAAGCCCAAUGCAAAACUUUGAAAGAAAAGGUUGGUGGAGACGUGAAGAAUAUGUAACCCAUAGGCCAUAACUAGUACCGAAGAUUAUUGAACAAACAUUCAAGGUUUUUGUAUAGACGAAACUGAAAAGAAUGUGUACCAGACUCAGGCGUUCAGAUCAGAUGAUGCCGUAAUGUGGAUUGUGGAGGAGCAUUGUGCAGACAGAUAAUGAGAUUCUGAAAGCGAGGCCACUGAUGGGCCCUUGGAAGGGGGGCGUGCCUUCAAAAUUAUAUAUAUAUAUAUAUAUAUGUCAUUGAAAAUUGGAAGCAACUUUUCUUCUUAAGUUAUUUUAAUCGAAGAAGAAACAAAAAGUUAAAAACAUACAUUAUUCUUCCUUCUUACGAGGUUUCCGGGUCUAAAUUACUAUGGUCUCUGCAACUGGCGUCGUUUUCUCUCCCCUCUCUCUAUUUUCCCUUUAUUUUUUCACUUUUAGAAAGAAGCAUCCCAUCAAGAAUCUACUACAACCCUACGCUUCCAUUUUGAUUUAGAAAGUUAAAAAUAAGUUUAAGUUAAAAAAAAAUAUUUUCUUAUAUAAUUAUUUAAACUUAUUUCUUUUCCUUUUUAUAUAAAGAAACAAAUAUUUUGCAAAUAAAUAAAUUUCUAAUUAUUUUCAUUAACAUAAUAAUAAUAUUUUUCAUAUGACUUUAAUCACAAUUUUUUUUACCACUUGUCCAAGGCGGUGAGAGGUGAUAAAAUGUAUUAAAAAAACGAUUAAAUUGCAUUAGGUAUAGAAGUUUUGUGCUUCAAUUAUCACUUAUAAAAAUAAAAUAAAAAUAGUCAAAUUUGAGUGUGCAAGUUGGUAUUCGUAUGUAGAAGGAAUUGGGGGAUUUGGGGGUCCUAACAAAUUUGAUAUGAUUGAUGGAAGGAAAUGAUUAUUAUAGGAUAAAGUCCGAAUGAAACGCUGACGAGGGGGGAAAAACAACAGUGGCAAUGCACUAUCCACAGAUCCAUGAUUGAUUUAUGUUAGCAAUAAUGAAUUAUUUUGACUUUGAUAACCUUGGUUAAGAGAAUUUGGUCUUGUUAUUAUCAUUUUUUCAAAAAAAAAAAGUGUAGGUAACUAGGUAGUUGAUUUAUUAGAAUUUAGAAAUGAGGAUCCCCUCCUCCUGCAAGAGCCGUGACAGACAUGCCUGCUUUCUUGCCAGAUUAUACCAAUGUGCCCAAAUAAUCCCCCAUCUAUCAUCUCUGCACCCUGGAACACGUCACUCCCUCCUUUGAGCAAUAAAAUAUCUCUUUUAUUUUCUUUUGAACCACUCUUCUAUUUCUUUGUACCAGACUGGACCCAUUUAAAUUCUUCGCUACGCUGUUCCCAAGGACUACGAGAAUCAAAAUAGCAAAAUUCUUGAAUCAUUUUAAUGGGUUCAGAAACCACAUGUUUCUCUAGAUCAUAAGAGGAAAAUCUUUUUGGAUGGUGUUUGUGUUGUGUUGUGUUCAAUAUUAAAUACUCAAUUAAAUAAGCUAAAUCAAAUAUCACAUGAAAAAUAAUCAAAUUAAAAAUAGGGAGAAUUAUGUUUUGAGGGUAGAUGGACCCCAAAUUAACAAAAGGUUCAUGUAACUCUUCAAAUUGAGCCCAGACCCAAUGAAAAUAUGGAAAUUGAGUUGAAGUAUAUCAUCAUUCAGUAUUUCCAAAAAUGUCCUUUGUUGAUUUUGAGAAAAAAAUUAAUAUUUUUGAAAAAUAUUUUUAUGUAAUUUAAUAUUUUUUUAAAUACUUUUAUUUAAUUUAAUAUUUUUAAAAAAUAAAUUUAUUUAAUUUAAUAUUUUAAAAAAUAUUUAAUUUAAUAUAUUUUUUAAAUACUUUAAUUUAAUUUAAUAUUUUUGAAAAAAAUUUUAAUUUAAUAUUUUUGAAAAAAAAAUUAUUUAAUUUAAUAUUUUUUAAAACUAUUUUUAUUUAAUUUAGUAUUUUUGAAAAAAAAUUAUUUAACUUAAUUUUAUAAAAUAUUUUAUAUGUGUUCUUAAAGGGUAUAUUUGUCCGUUACUAUUUCAUAUCCUUCAACUCAAUUUAAAGAGUUAUAUGGACCUUUUGUUAAUUUGGGGACCCAUCUACCCUCAAAAGAUAAUUCUCCCUUAAAAAUAUAAAUUUAAAUAUGACAUAAUUAUUAAAUAUGUUAGAUCUUGUAUGAGUUUAUAAGAUUUAUGUUUCAAAAUAACAUGUUUAUAAUUCAUCUAUUGAUUUAUAAUCAAAUUUUAAAUAAAUUAAAGUUAUUCAAGUUAAUAAAUAUGAUUUAUGUUAUAAAGACUAACUAAAAAAUAAUUUAUUAAUUAAACGGAUCCUGGUCAAUAAAAAUUUGAUUUAAAUACGAUCAUACUUAAUCAAAACUUAGGUCAAAUUGUAUUGAUAAAUUACAUCAAAACCUUGUUGUGUUCAAUAUUUUAUAUUAAACUAUUUUUUAAUAAAAUUAUUUUUAUAAAUAUAAUAUUACAUCAUUUGGAGAAACAAAAUAGUAUUAUAUUGAUUUUACAUAUAAAGCAACCAGUUAACCCCUCAUUAUUUUGAUCCAUUUCACAUCCAUAUCAUUCUCAUAAUUUUUUUAUAAUAUAUUAACAUGAUGGACGGUAAUUGAGGGUAGAAAAAAAAGAUGAGAAGAAUAAAAUAAUGUGAAUCCUCUCUAAAUGUUACAUCUUCUGACAAAUGAAGUCUAUAGAAAUGUGUAAAAAAAAAAAAAACACUUAAUUGUGAGGUUCACUUGAUUUAGCAAAAAAUUAAUAUUUUAUUUGUUGUGUGAUUUAAAAAUAAUAUUUUAUUUUUAAAAAUAAAAAAUUAUUUUUAAAGUUUUUUAACACUAUUUUACUAUUGUUCUUUGAAAUAAUUUUUAAAAUUAAAAUGAAAUAACUAAUAAUUUUUAGAUAAUAAAUUAAAGUUGUUUUUAUUAGAUUUUAAAAAUAAAAGAAAAAUAUAAAACCAUUUGAUCAAAUUUUUUUAAACUUAUUUUUAAAAGGUUUUUUUUUUUUUUUUUUUUUUUCUAUCCUAAGUUAAAAGAUAAAAAAUAAUUUUUAAAGAUAGGUUACGAGCAAAUGCCACAAACUUUUUUCUUCUCUUUCCCUUGUUCGGAUAGAAGUGAAAAAUAUCCUCCCAUGGAUCGACAUUACGUGAGCCAUCACCAUUCCCCAACUGCAAUUCAACCGCCAAAGCUGAGGUGUCAUUAUUAGUUUGAACAAAAGUCAGCAUUGUCCACGUGGUGACAAGCGGAACUGACCCAACUUGCAAGGCAAAAAAAUAAAUAAAAUAAAAUGAAAAAAUCAGAUCACCAUUAUGACGUCAGUCCAAUUGCUGACCUGGCCGCCGUCCCCCAUUUGACCCACGUGUUCAUUUAACCCAUUCGCCGUAUGCCGUGGCUCCCCACCCAUAUGGCCAUAUCUGCCAUUUAUUUUAUCCGUUGCCUCCAUUCGGUUUUUGGAUUUUACCCAUUCGCCCUCGUCUAUUCCCAUUUCCGUAUUUGCCCACCAAGGAAAUUCAAUUCCCAUGCUUUUGUUUUACAUUCAAAUCCUCCCCCCUCUAUAUAAAGGAGGGAGUAGGGCUUGAAAGUUUCUCAAGCCAACAUGGACUGUUGAGAGUGAAAGACAGAGGAGCCACAAACAAAUAUCACUCACUCAAACCAAAGCCAAAACCAAUACCGAAUUCAAUUCAAAUGACUUCUUUCUCUCUCAUCAAUUCCCUGAAUUCCGAUUCCGAUUUCAAUUUGUUAUCGGAUUCUUUUUCCUGGGAAAACUCCCUACCUUUCAAUGAAAACGACUCCCAGGAGAUGCUCCUCCUGGGCAUGCUGGCCAGCUCCACUCAGGAAACCUCAGAAACAGUUUCUUUGAAUCGAGUGAAGGAGGAAGAAGUGACUUCCCAGGAAAAUCCCGAGAAGGAGAAGUCAUACAGAGGCGUUAGGAGGCGGCCAUGGGGGAAAUUCGCAGCAGAAAUAAGGGACUCGACCAGGCAUGGCAUAAGGGUGUGGCUGGGAACAUUUGACAGUGCAGAGGCAGCUGCUCUGGCCUAUGAUCAAGCUGCUUUUGCGAUGCGGGGCCCUGCGGCAGUCCUCAAUUUCCCGGUGGAAAGAGUGAAGGAAUCGAUGCAGGAGAUCAAGUGCAUCUUGGAGGAGGGGGGCUCACCAGUGGUGGCCCUCAAGAAGAGGCACUCUAUGCGGAGAAAAAGUCCUUGCAAGAAACAUAAAAGUGAAGAGGUGAGGUUAGAAAAUGUGGUAGUGCUGGAGGAUUUGGGUACUGAAUACUUGGAACAGCUCCUCACUUUCUCUGAGACCUCUAGUCCUUGAUCAUCAUCAUCCAUCACCUGGAUAGCUUCUUCUCUUUGCUCUGUUUCUUACUUUUCUCUCUCUCUCUCUCUCUCUCUCUCUUUUUUUUUUAUGUAAUUUUUCUUAAUGUAUUUUUGGAGAUGGCGGGGGUGUAGUGGUGGCAAUUAUCCAUCUAGAAUUUUUCAAAAGAUAUGUUCUUUUGUUUCUUUGUAUAAAGUUGAAAAGUGGGGAUCAAUUGUGAUGGUGCUCUAUGUUCAUCCACCCAAUUUAUAUAAUCAAGGUGAUUAAUGUUUUUUGAUAUCAACAAUUUGUGAAUGACAUAGAGAGAGAGAGAGAGAGAGACCUUAUUUUCUACACUCAUUACGGUGGUUUCCAUUUGGGGAAGGAAAAGGAAAUGGCUAAGAAUGUUACCAAAAGAAGUGGGGUGGCUUUCAUAUGCGUGGUGGCAUACUUGCAUACAAACUUUUCAAUUGUGUUCUGCAUGCCACUCGGGUCAAUUUCAUUUCUUUUACUCCUAGUAGCCUAAUUGGAUUUCCUUUUUCUCAUGAGACAUCAAAUAAAUUUCAUUUUUUUAUAUUUAAAUAGUUAGGUAAGUUUGAUAGUGAGUUAUAUUUUAUACAUUAAUUCAUCUUUUAGAAUGUUGUCUACAAUAUAAACAGUGUAAUUAAUUUCAUCAUUACAGAACAGUCAUCUUAUAAAAUAACAUAAAAAUUAUUGGAUCACUUGUAUGGCACCACUGAUUUGGACUUGGUAUGGCUCUGUUUGGCUUCAUAGAAAAAAUUUGGACCCAAUUUGAAUGUCUUGCAUAAAAAGAGAUACGUCCCACUUUGAAUGAUAUUGAAGAAAAAAAUUUCUGAUGAAGAAUAUAUUGUUGGCAGGGUCAUGCAGGCCAAUAGGGAAACGAUAAAUUCAGAAGAAUGAGUCCAAACCAGUGGGCUUGAAAAUUAAGAAGAGAAUUGCUGUAUAAAACAAUCAUUUCUUAAUCGAGUUCACUUUCUGAAUAAUCGUCACUUUGAGAAUGCAUACUUAGGAAGAUGAUGAUCCUUAAUGGGAAUAAUCAAAGGCAUCAAAAAAUUGUUCUGGAACAAUUCUUGAUUGUCUCCAGUAAAAUUCAAAGUCAAAAGUCAAAAGUCCAGUCGGUCAACACCAAACCAGGCCAGUCCAAAAGACAUUAAUUUGCAAUCUAGAAUCUAUGAUGAGGUGGCGAAAUCAAACCUUGGCUUUUCACCAGGGAAUGGUACUCUGAAUUUGGUCAGUUCACUGUUUCGAGUGAAUAGGGUGUAGUAAUUAGUAAAUCAUAUUUUAGAUUUGUGUCACAAGUUACAAGGGAUAUGGGCUGACGUUCAAUUUUGGCGACAAUUUGUGGGCCCGUAUAUUUGUUGAGAUGUGGAAAUUGGGUGUGUGCUUUUUUCUGCUACCACAUAAAUAUAUUUCUUUGAAUUGAAGAGUGUUUCAGACCAUUUUUUUUCAAGUCACAAAUGGACAACUGAUUGAGAUUGUAUUGGUGAGAGUAGGAGUUUAUUUUGGGCUGGUUGAGCGAAGUUGAAAGUCGAGUUGGACCUAACCCUUGAAUUCAGCAGACUACAGUCCGAUCCUGUAUUUUGGAUUUAGGGAACCUUCUUUCCCAGAAGCUUCGUCUGGGUUUUAAAGUCUAAAUGUGGCUACUCUUAAACAUUGGAGAAAGGAUGAGCGUUCACAAGCAAAUGGGUAAUUGUGGAUGGUUCAAGGACCUGGCCAGCUGGUCUUCAAGUUUGGAUGCCGGUUUGGGCCUGAGAGAGUCUUUGCAAAGUGACUUCACUUCAGCCUAUGAGAUCAAGAUAUCAUGGUGAUGUCCGAUCACUUAGGUUUCAUUUUCACCUCGGAUUACCGUUACCAUGUUCAUGAAUAAAAAUAAAUAAAUAAAUGAAGCCUUAUAGAGAAAUUAAUGAAGUGAGCUAUACAAGCAACUGGGCCAGGAGCCUACAAGGCAGAAAUUCCCUGCCCUAGACUAGGCCGAAUAAAUUAGAUGAAUGAAUUGGGGAAACCUGGGCCAGCCACACAUCCUCCUGAAGGCUGAUGUCGAACUCGCUUACGAGGAAUGGACAUGGGAGAUUGGGCUGGGACCAAAUAACCAAUUGACAGCCCUAUCCUUGUGGCAAGACGUCAGUAAAAUGGUUCAUUCUGAUUUUACGCUGCCAUUCAAUUUAAUUUUAAUUUUUGUUUAAAGCGAUGUACAAAUUGAAUGGUGUCUAGUCACUUAAAGAGUGGUUCAUAAUACACUUAAUUUAAACAAAAAAGAAAUUAUUAGAUAGGGGAUUCUCCAAUAAAAACCACCCCAUCUUGUCAGCAAGUCCGGAAACUUCCUUCACUUAGGGCGUAUUUGUUUUUUUAACUUUAAUAUUAAAGAAAGUUGGUUAAACCUUAUGACACUUUUAUAUUAUUUUAUGAAUUUUUUUUAAUUUUUAUUUUAAUGGAAUUUUAACUUUAAUACAAGUUGGAGUAAUUCUUAUCUUAAAAACAAAUCAAAAUUACUUUAAUUUUAUAUAGAAAUAAACUUACAGUAAAUUUACCAUGAAAAUUUCUAAGUCAAAUACACCAUAAGUGCUAGUAUUUUAUAAUAUUUAGAAACAUGUUAAAUUAUUAUUAUUAUUUUUUAAAAUUAUUAGUUUUCAUAUUAGUUUUAGGGAAACUUGUGCUUUAGGUCUUUUAUUUGCAAAUAAUAUGGUUUUCAAAUCCUAAGAAUAGAAAAUAUGAGAAUCAACUGUUAAUGUGGAAAAUAAUAUCAAUUUUGUGCAAUCUCUAUUGACUCAUUUUUUUGUGCCUAGAUUGCCUUCACCCACUUCCAUGUCAACAACCACAUUAAUAGAUUGUUUUUUUUUUAUAAAACAAAUAAUUAUUAUGUUUAAAAUUUUGGGGAAACUCUCUAUCUCUCUUACUUCUUCACUACAUCCGAGACCCAUCUUCCUUAAACGUUUGCCUCUCAUUUUGCCCUAACCCCAAAUCUCAUAAAUUUCUCAUUUUCUUGCCUCAUUUGAAAUAUGAAGAUGACCGAUUCUCAAACAUCUCUGUCUCUCUCUUCACGUUUUGACCAGUCUAAUUGGAAACCCAUUUUCCAAAAACCUUCUUUCUUUCAUUUUGCCCUAACCCCACUAUCUCCCUCUUCAAGACCUAAUCACCCAAACUCGAUAUCUAUCUUCCCAAAACCUUCAAGCAAACUGAACUAGACCCAUAUCUUCUUUUUUCAUCAUCAAAGGUGAAAUUUUUUUAAGGCUUUUGGAAACCGAAUUGGAGCUUUCCCUUCUUCUGGGAUUAAUCAUUCGCAAGUGAGUUUUCCAUUUAAGGCUUUGUUUGGCUGUUGAAAUCUUGGGAUCAAAGGUCUUUUAUUUUCAGGUUUCUUGUAUUUUGCUUUAUUUUCUUGUAUAUAACAAUAAUCAUUGUAACAUAUGCUAGUAGUUACCCUUGGUGCAACUUUACAUUUCCAAAUACCCUAAAGUCCAAAGCUUUUAAUUCCCUUUUCAAAGCUUUCAACUUUGAAAGCAGACUAAACCAUAAGAACUAUGAAACUUAUAUCUCUAUCACCACUAAUUAAGCAUGUCUAUGAAUCCUUCCACUUUAAGUCACUUAUUCUCAAACCAAGAAGGGCUCCUCUCAUUCUCACCCCACCUCAUCUAAAUGAGGGAAAUGAUCAAUUGCAGCCAUGCUUUGCACCAAAUUAGAGAAGUGAUCCUCCCAAUCAUCCAUUACCAAAAAUUGAUCAUGCUGAUGAGAUCAUAAGAGUCUAUUCGGAACUCCCAGUUUACUUGCCUCUUAUCUCAGGAUCCUCCAUUACCCCCUGUCUUUCCAACAUCAAAUCAACUUGCAAACAAUUCCUUUGUAGAUAAAAUGUUUUUAAUAUUGCAAAAGGGGACUUAUCAUAAUGGUUGAAUCGAUUUAUUUGAUAUAAUCACUCAAAUUCAAGCUUAAAAUUGAUCAUAAUAAAAUGUUUUUAAUAUUGUUAAAAGGAGAUUAUAAUGGUUUUAUUUGAUAUCAUUACUAAAAUUCAAGCUUUCAAACAUGCUCUACAAAGAAGUUCUAAAAGACUACAAGAAAGAGUUUCCACUAAAGAAAAACAAUGAAACCAUUUCUACUAAAGACAAACAAUGAAACCACAGAUGCUUUGUGAAAUAUGUACCCGCACAAUCCAACAAACUUUAGAAAUUCACAAACACUACCUAGAAUUUUUGCUGACCAGCAAAAAAUUUAUGCAAUUUAAUUCUUAUUGUUAUUAUUAUUUUCAAUGUGAACAAAUAUGAUUGAAUUAUGAAGUAUUUGGCCAGAAGAGGAUCUUGCCUAAUUAUAGUCAUUAAACAACCAUUUAUACCAUAGCCUCUAGACUUUAAAAAGUUUAUAAAACUCAAGGGCUUCCACCCAAUUUCUAGAUAUCUCCAUAACAUUCUUCUGACUAUUAGAAAGCAAUUACCACUUUAAUUUUUCAUUUCAUGAGUGUUCAAUUCAGAAAAAGACCAGGAUCGAACUUGCGAUCAUGCAGUCGAAAAUCCACCUGUGCAUGAAACUAUUGCCUCACGAUUGCAAACUCAAGUUGGAGUCCAGUAACAACUCUAGGUUUGCUGAUGUGCUCCAUUUGAAAUAAAGGAACUAAAGAAUACUUUAUAAAGAUUAAUUACCUUCAUAUUUUAGGUUGGGGUUAAGGCAAAAUGUGAUAGAUUGAGAGGAAGAAAAUAUAUCUUGUUCAGGAAGCCAAUAUUUUGGAGUUCACCUUUCCAUUCGAGUCCACUCUGCUAUAGCAAAAUCAGAGUCACAACUAUGCCUCUUUAAGCUAUCCUUUAAUUGGAUGAAUUGCAGAUUUGGUUGCUGAGAAAGUGGAUAAGAAAGAAAAAUGCAUACUGUAGCUUGAGAUUAAGAGUUUGUUUUCUAAAAUGAGAGAAAGGGAAAGAGAAAAAAUGCAUAUUGUAGCUUGAGAUUAAGGGUUUGUUUUCUAAAAUGAGAGAAAGGGGAAGAGAAAUGUUCGACAACUUUGAGAUGACAAAUUUUUAGAUUUGGAAAAUUUGAGAUGAGUCUCAGGUUUUUUUUUUUUUUUUUUUGUCUUUGUCUUUGUUUUUUUUUUUUUUUUUUGUUUUUUUCCCAAAAACAACCUGUUAAUGUGGUUGUUGACAUAGAAGUGGGUGAGGGCAAAAUGGGCAUAGAAAAAAGAGUCAACACAAAGUGCACAAAACCCAUAUUAUUUUCCACAUUAAUGACUGAUUCUCAUAUUUCUUGUUCUUGGGAUUUGAAAACCAUAUUAUUUGCAAAUGGACCUCCCAAAGCACAGGUUUCCCUUAGUUUUAUGUCUCCAUCUACAUUUUACAUAUAAAUAGAUUAUUUUAUAAAAUUUGUUUUGUAGAUAUAUUAGUUAAUAAUUAUAUAAUUAAUGAUAUAGAAAACAUAUAAAAAUCAUAUUUAAAAAAGAUAAUUACAUAUUCCUCAACAAUCCAUCCCAAGAAUUCGAGGUUGAGUUGAAAACAUGUAGAGUCUUUGAUGUUAUUAUAAUCAUAUCCAACACAUAUGAUUAUUGUUUAUGAGAUAUUAUUAGAAAGUUUGUCUUAAAAUAAUUGAUUUAUUACCCACCUUUAGCAAAUGCCCAUUUUUGCGUCUUUCAAAAUUUUCAUUUUUUUUUUGUUUAAAAGAAGUAUUGUAAAGAAUGAUGAAAUAAGAAAUUUGUUGAGAAAGUGUGAGUAAAUAAUUUUACAUAAAAAGAGAUUUAAUACUUGAUAAAUAAAAUAAUAAAAUCAUGAUUUCUAGUUGUAUAGGGCCGGGUGGAUGGAGUGGCUAAGAUGUAAUUCUUGAAAUAGAGGAGACAACAUCAAUGUAUAAAAGUUUAACAGAGAAGGAAAGUGUGUUUGAAUGACUUUAUUUUCUUCAUUUAAAGUUUUGACGAUGAGUGUUUAUACAAGAUAAAUUUUCAAAUGAUAGGACUCCUAUUUACAUGGAGUUUGUGAUAUACUAUGAUUAUACAAAUUUAAAAUUCAAACAGAUUCAUGAGUUGAUAGGAGUCUGCUCAAUACGCCCCUUCAAAAUGGUGGGAGAUAGCACACCAAUCUUGACUCGAAGGGCCUAAACUCGUGCAGAAGAUGAGGGCUUUGUUAGAGCAUCGACAAGUUGAUCCGUGGUUGACAUAUGGGACACCUUGAGCUCACCUGAUUAAACCUUGUUUCAAACAAAAUGAAAAUCAAUCGCCGAUGUGUUUCAUGGAGAGUGAAACAUGGGAUUUGCACAAAGAUAUGUUGCACCCACGUUAUCACAAGAGAUAGGAGGUGGUGAUAAAUUUGAAACACUAAGUUUUGAGAGAAGAGAAUUAACCCAAAGAACCUUUGAGGCUGUAGAGGCCACGACGUGAUAUUUCGCUUCAGUGGAAGAGCGUGCUAUGAACUUUUGUUUCCUCGAUGACCAAUACACAAGAUUGUGACCAAGAAAAACAAUGGGAGCAUUGGUGGAGGAUCUGACAUAAGGAUUCCUUGCCCAUUCAACAUUCGAAUAUGCAUGUAGAUUGAUGGGCGAUUUCUUAUGCAAGAACAGACCAUGCACCAUUGUGCCGACUAAGUAUCUAAGCAAUCUUUUAACACAAGACCAAUGUGUUGAUGUUGGAUGGUGCAUAAAUUGAGAUAAUUUAUUCAUCAAGAAGGUGAUGUCAGGGCUAGUAAGAGAGAAGUAUUGAAGGCUUCCAACAAUUGACAUAUAUUUAGUGGGACCAGGAAAAGAGGUGUCAUCACACAGAUUUGGAACAUUGUUGAGGAACAUCAAUGAUUGAACUGGUUUGGUAGCCACCAUUUGUGUUUUCUUAAGAAGCUCUCGAAUGUACUUGAGAUAAAAAUAAUCCUUUGGAAGUAUGUAUCAUUUCAACACCAAGAAUAAAAGAUGAAGUCCUGAGAUCCUUAAUGGAGAAUUUGACUGCUAAUUGAGAGAUCACGCGAGCACGAAAAACAUUAUUGUUACUUGUUAAAAUAAGAUCAUCAAUAUAAAUAAGUAGGUAAACAAUGAGACCACUCUUUUUAAAAAUGAAGAGGGAUGUCUCGGUUUAGGAGUUGACGAAGGCUAUUGAGAGGAGAAAUUGGCAAAGUUCAUGAUACCAUGAUCGUGGAGCUUGUUUAAAGCCAUAAAAAGCCUUACAAAGUUGGCAAAUGUGAUGAUGUGUGUAUUCGUGAACCCAGGAGGUUGAAUCAUGUAAACAUCUUCAUGAAGUGUCCUAUGCUAGAAUGCAUUAUUAAUGUCCAAUUCAUGAGUUGAUAGGAGUCUGCUCAAUACAAUGUGGGAGUGUGAUUUCAAAAUUAGGGUAAUUUCGAAAUGGAUUUUGUAUUCACAAGUUGAAUUUCAAAAUUAUUUUGAAAUGGUCUUUUAACUUUAAGCAGUUGUGUUCAAAAGGUCAUAACUUCUUCGUUUCAAUUUUGAUUUACACAUUGUUUAAAACAUUGGACUCUUUACUUCCCGAGCUUCAAAACGAUAUAUAGUAUGCUCAAAAAUGACAUCAGGAUUGGUUCAAAUUUCAUCUUGAUAUUAGAGUACAUGUUGUGAUUAGAUUUUGAGUUCCAAAUUUCCAUGUAAACUUGAUUGCAUUUGCUUCAAACCUCCUUCAUUAUGGUUGCUUGCCCUCUAUCUCACUUUGCAACAUUUGUUACUAGUAUUUUAUGUCCAUGACUUACUCAUUUCAACCUUUCUUGGAUUCUUCAUGGUUCACAAAUUAUGGAUUCUUCAUGGUUCACAAAUUGAGUCUUUCAAUUAUGCAUGUUUAACUCCUAUUUCCUUGGUUGAUAAUGACUUUUACACUUAUCAUUUUCUUUUAUUCUUUAAACCUGAAUUUAGACUUACAAAAAAAAGUUAGAUCCAUAACUAGGGUCUUAGCAUCAAUUUGAGUUAAGUUGGAUGAUUUGAAAAUUUUAUAUUACAUAAAUCAUAUCAUACAUGUGCCAUUGGAGUGCACAUUUUGGCUCUAAUCAUGUUCCAACCCAUUGUUUUACUCUUGCAUGAAGUAUGUGGCCAUUGAUUUUAAUUUUAUUUGCGAUUAGGUUCAAAAUGGUGCUUUUGUGUUGCUCAUGUGUCAUCAGAAGAUCAACUAAUGGAUUCUCUAACAAAACUACUACAUCAUAGUCAUUUUUUUUUUUCUUAAGACCAAGAUUGAGAUCUCCAAUCGGAGCCAACUCCAUCUUGGGGGCAUGUUAGUGAAAGAUAAAAUUUAUCUUUAAUUUAAAUAUUAAUAUUUAUCAGUUAUUAGUUUUAAUUAGAGUAAAAGAUAGAGUUUAAAUUGGAGUAGGAGAUAAACUUGUGUUUGAACUAGAAUAGAAGAUAAAGUAUAAAGAUUUAUGUUUGAAUUAGAAUAAAAUAUAAAGUUUGAAUUAGAGUAGAAGAUAAACUUGUUCUUUAUUUGUAUAUAAAUAUUCAUCAAUUCUUGAGAAGAAGAUUAUUUCAUAGUUUUUCUAUCUUCUUUUUUCUUCAUACAUAUCUGCAAGAAAUUGAAGAUUUCAAGUAAAAUAUUUUCUGUUUUAAAUAGUGAAAAAAGCUAGAAAUUCACUUUGUUAUCUCUUGGGGUAAAUUGACAAGGUUUAACGUUAAGAAGGUGAAUUAUUUUUUCAGAAAAACUGAAGUAGCUAGGAUAUCUGGCCAGUUGUGAUCGAUAAAAAAGUUGUAAAAUCUCUCAUAUACUAAACAGGUUUUGGAUGUUGGUAUGGUAAAUCCAUCUGCAGUCAUUCGUCAUCUCAUCUAGUGAGAUGUUUGGGAGGUGGUGACCGCCGGAUUGGGUUUCAUUUGGUUAAAUCUGUCAGUGGGUUGGCUACUACCCGAGCCUCUUGCUUUGGGGGAGGUGGGUUCUAGAUAUAAUGUUCAAACCAUUUUAGUUAUCAUAUGCAUGACAUGUAAGCAUAAUCUCUUUAUCACUUCUUCAAUGGGAGUUCAUGGUUAGGAAUUGACUUCUUUUCUUCUGGGAUGCUUGGCAUGUAAUGGACAAAGUUACUUUUAUAUCGAUCGAAUUUCUAGUAUUAUAGUGAAGACUUACCCUUUUGACAUUUUAUAUCGAAUUAUAGAAGAUGAAAGGGACAUACAUGCAAUCGACUGACGCUUUAGUGAAUAUGCUGAAAAUAUGCUGAUGCUGUGGAGAUCGUAUGAGGACAGAGGAAAAAGAUAGAAAUGGAUAUAUAAUUAGACCUAGGUUUUUAUUAAAUGAGAUGGGGAACAUAGAGUGAGGGAAAAUCAAAAUUUUUGGCUGCAGUUCACAUUGGUGAUAUUUUGGAUUGACAAAGACUAACGACUUUUCUAUUUUUCUUUUCGGCCUGACUGGAUAGUUGGACAUGGACAAUACAGAAUCCACAGAAGGAUUGUUGGGACCGCUGAAAAUUAGCUAGAAGAAGCUGAGGAAGUAGUCUACGUAGUCAAAUACCAAACACAAAGAAAGAAAGAAAUGGAUAUCAUGGAUGCCUAGAGUUAUACUCCUAAUACCGUCACAGGUAUUUUUCUUUCCUCCUUUUUUUUUCUACGAUAAUUAGAGCAUUUCUCCUCCUCCUCCUCCUCCUCCCCCCACCCCACCACCAAAAAAUAAAAAAAUAAAUUAUUGCAAGUAACACUUCAAAUAUUAAUUUAUACAUUCUAAAGUAUAUAUUCAUGAAAUAACUUGAGUAUCAUACAUUAGUUCUCAAAAAAAAAAAAAAAAAAAAAAAAAAAUUACUGGAAGAGAAAAGUUUAAGAAAACAUAAAAAUAUUCAACUACUAUUUUAAAGAGAAAAUUUAAUUUUUACACUAUAAAUUUGAAGAGAACUUUUACAUGCAUCUUAUAUAAACUACCAUUUUUUGCUAAAAGGCUUAAAUUUGUCAAAAAUACCCCUUAGGUGCUUAACGUUCUGGUCAUAAUAUAAUUGGCAUCUUUUCUCAAACAUAAGGCCUGUGUGUGGGAACAAGAUUUAAUGUUAAUGAGCUUCGCCACCGACAUUUAGUUCCAGAAAUCAUUAUUUUAAUAGAGUGGGCUCAAUUUACAACUUUAAUUAAACUCUAACCAACUGCAUUGUGAAAUGAAUAUGUUUCUUUCGUGGUGAAUCCAAUGAGUUGGGAGUCAAACUUUGCUUCAUUGUGUAUAGAUGAAAUGUUAAGACUCCAUGUAACCUCAAACAUUUCCGCAAUNNNNNNNNNNNNNNNNNNNNNNNNNNNNNNNNNNNNNNNNNNNNNNNNNNNNNNNNNNNNNNNNNNNNNNNNNNNNNNNNNNNNNNNNNNNNNNNNNNNNUUCUUUCGUGGUGAAUCCAAUGAGUUGGAGUCAAACUUGCUUCAUUGUGUAUAGAUGAAAUGUUAAGACUCCAUGUAACUCAAACAUUUCCGCAAUGAGCGGGAGUUCUAAAUUUAAUAAUUGAAAUUGUCAGUGGAACCAGUGGACAAGAGUUGGUUUGUGGUUGACAAACUUAUCCGUUUGAUCUUUACUUGAACAGUUCCAGUGUGUGGAUGGGUACUGAUGAAGUGUGCGCAUUUAUUUUGAGAAGCCUGCUUGUUCGCAUAGAUUUUAACGACAUGAACAUUGUGGUAAGGUUAGAGAGUAAUGCGAAUGUAGGAGCUUAUAUUAGAAAUGACACAAACACGUAAAUAGAAGUAAUCUAUAUAUGAUAUUACUCAUGGACUACAAGCAAAGAAGUACAAUACAUGGAGUAAGUGAUGAAAUGAGCAUUCCUCACUACUACUGCUUGACUGAUGGAACAUGAUGCACGAGAUAGCAUAAGUAGUAGUAGGAAGCAGCUCUUAUUUGUGGCGUCGGUAUACAUCAUACUAGGUAGAUGGUUCAAUUGGCAUGGAUGGGUGGUGGAGCCUUGAAGUGCUUGUGAUGGGGAGCCCACGGCUUCUUCUCAGGAGUUGGUGGCUUCUUGUAUGGAGUUGAUGGAGGUGUUUCUACUGGAGGGUGGCCAGGGUAGUGACCCUGGGGUGGUGAAGGUUCUUUUGUCGGUGGUGGCCUCACUAUUAUUGGCGGUAGAGUUGGUGGCUUGGGCGUUGGCGGUGGUCUCACUACUCUUGGGGGUAGAGUUGGUGUCUUGUGUUUUGGUGGUGGAGGUGGCUUAACAGGAGUUGGUGGCUUGUAUUCUGGGGGUGGUUUCUCCACCGGAGGUGGCUUAUAAACUGGAGUUGGUGGCUUGUAUUCUGGGGGUGGCUUCUCCACUGGUGGUGGCCUGUAAACAGGGGUUGGUGGCUUAUAUUCUGGGGGAGGCUUCUCCACUGGAGGCGACUUAUAAACAGGGGUUGGUGGCUUGUAUUCCGGGGGUGGCUUCUCUACGGGAGGUGGCCUGUAAACAGGGGUUGGUGGCUUCUCCACCGGAGGUGGCUUAUAAACGGGGGUUGGUGGCUUGUAUUCUGGGGGUGGUUUCCCCAGUGGUGGAGACUUGUAAACAGGAAGAGGUGGUUUGUGCUCAUAUGGGGGUGGCUUGUGGUCAUUAGCAAGUGAGGGAGUGGUGAGGACCACCAAUCCAAGGAACAACACGAGUGAGCAAGCAGAAGACAUGUUUGGGCUCUGGUGAUGCACAAGUAGAAGAAAUGGGAACCAUUUAUAAUGCUUCGAGACCUUGGUUAGCACCAAAAUAUGUCAAAAUCUUGAUUACUUCAUUUCAUACAUAGAUUUAAAAUUAUUUCAAUCAACCAUGAUCCUUAAUUUUCUGGGUGGUCCAUAAAUGUAAUGGGGUCAAUUUGGGACCUAACAAGCUGAGAAGUUUGACAAUGCUGCAAGGCUUCAUCCGAAAGUCCGGGGAAGAAUAUUAGGAGUUACACUCCGUUUCCUUUUUUGGGUGCAUUUUUCUCCUUUAACAUUCUAUUCCCUUUUACAUUAGCAUUUGAUCUUAGCUCAUUUCAAGUACAAGUUUCUUGAACCCUAUACCAUUGUCAAAGUUGAGUAACCAUCUCUACUUUGCUCAAGAAACAUAAAAGACAAUGACAAUAAAGAAAAAGGAGAGAGACCAUACGUGACUUGGUUUAUAGGUGGCUUUGUGUUGACAUUUGAGUAUGGAAGCCGACAUGCAUCUUAGCUUCGAUUUUAAUUAAAUUUGUACAUUAGUGUCUGUGUCAUUCAUUUUGGUAUAAAAGGUCUCUUGAUUUCGUAAGUUUGGUAAGAACCGUUGAAAAUAGCAGUAGCAGCACAUGGUCCACUUUCUUUCACAAAAUAAUUUUAAAAGUUUAGAAGCAUAGGAGGUAACAUUAGUGGCCUUGUGGCUCAGCCACGAGUACUAUGUGGUGCUCGAGAAAUUGAGUUUAAUUUCCUUCCGAUAGUUCAUGAUAAGGUCCGUCACUGUCCUGAGACAGAUUGCGUUUUUUCUUUUUUCCUUUUUUAGUGUUUUAUUGACUAGCUAGGUGUGACUUUUCCUACUUUAAGGCACGAGGCAGAAAAGAAACUGGGAUUUAGUGCUUAAGAAGGCAAAUUUAAUUCGAUUUGGAUCUAAAAUUUGCCAGCAACAUGAGAUUUUCCAGCCUAUCGUUGCUCCACAUAUAGACAAGGCACUUGUAGAAGUGGCUUGUUUGUAGCCAUUCCCGAUAUUUGGACUCACUUGAUUCACCGGACACUUUGAUAAAAUUUAAUAUUUAUUAUUUAAUAAUUUAAAUUGAUUUAAAAUUAAAUUAUACCGAAGUUGUGAUUUAAAAAUUAUUAUUUAAUUCUUACUUUUAAAUAUGAAGAUUAUUUGAUAAAAAUAAUUUAAAAUUUAUUAUAAAUUAUCAAAUUAACAUAUUUAUCCUUAUAAAUUAUAAUUAAAACAGAAAAGGUCAAAUGAUUUGAGUAUCCAUAGAUGUGGUAAAAUAAUAAAAAAGAUUAUAAAAACAAUUAUGAUAAAUAAAGAUAAAAAGUAAAAUGAAUAUGUGAAUUUAAAGAAUAAAUUAAUUAUUUUUAUUUAUUACUUAAAAUUAUUUUUGACUUUAAAUUAUAUUAUUAAAUUAUUUUACCAAACAUACUUAAUUUAGUUAAUAAUUUAAAUUUAAUUUAAGUUAUUAAAUUGAUUCACCAAAUACCCACUUAAUCAAAGACUGAAGUAUACAUUAUUUGGCCAAAUGCAGCUAUUGAAAUUUAACUUUUUCCAAACUUAUUCAUUUUGUGGAAAUAUUUUUAGAAAUGAUUUUAAAAAUGCACUAUUCUGUGUGUUGAUUUUAUAUUUUGGCAUUAAUCCAACAUAGAAAACGGUUCUUAUUUUCGCUGUUAAAUAGGUACCAGAUCCUUAAUUAGUGCCGUGAAUCCGGCAGCUUCCAAUGAGUAAUUUGGACUUGGGUAUUGACAAUGUGUGGCCAUGCUUCUACUAUUUUAUUAUUCUUGAAACAUAUAUGAUAUAUUGGACUUUAUACAGGGAAAAAAAAAAAAAAAAGUCUUCACCAAAAAUGAUUCCUCCUAAAAAAUAGACUCCACAAACUAGGUUUAACAGGAAAAUGAUUCUAAUCUAGUAGUUUCCAGCCACAUGAGCAUUUACGUAACAAUAGUAUAGUUGAUAACGACUUUUAUUUUAUUUAUUUUUAAAUAGUUAAAGGGAUAAUUUUUGAGCUUAAAUUUUAUUUUUUUAUUUAGAAACAUUUUACUUUAUUUUUUAAUCAUAAUUCUAUUAUAUUAAUGUUUUAUUUUCUAUUUUUUAAUAUAUAAGGAGAUACUAAAUUUAUGUGAUUAUUUUUUAAAAAUUUAGUAUAUGAAAUUAAAUAAUUGGAUAUAUAUACAUAUAUCAUAUAAUGUUUUUUAAGUGUGAUUUUUGAACUUUUUAGUCAUUUUAUAAGUUUAAGCUUUUGAUUUUUUUUUUUAAACUUUGGUAUUUUUUAUUUUAUAUAAAACUAUUUUGAUUUAAUUUUAUUAAAAAAUAUUGGUAUUAUAAAUUAUUGUAUUAAUUAUUUUUUUAUAUUAUAAUGUAACUGGUAUAUACUAAAAAAUGUAUGCAAGUUCAAUUUAAGUUUCAAAUUAAAAAAUUUCAUUUAAAUAUUUAAUAACUUGUUCAUAAUAAAAAAUUAAACAACAUAAUACAAAUGAAAAGAAACAUAAAAGAAAAAGGAAAAAAUGGUCCUCUCUGUGUGUCACAUUACUAGGUCAUCCUCUUUUUCUAUGACCCUUACAAUAGAAUGGCAUAUUUGUCAAAUCUACUUAUGAAAGUUGGAAUGUUUCUACAUGUGUAGGGUCCAUUGGAACUAAUGGAGGAAAGGCUUAACGUCUAUGUAAAUCACAACGUUGCCUAGGUGGGCAUAGAUCUAGUUGUGUAACAUGAGAUGGUGUGAGAGUACAAUAUAUGCAUUGUAGUCUCUAUGGGAAGAGAGAUAGGUAAUGGUAGGGUGGUAGACGGUAGGGUGAUCUCUAAUAUAAUGACAUUUGAUGUGGUGGCUUCUAAGAGAGGAGAUAUAAGAGAUGGUAGAAUGACAUUUGGUGUAAUGGUCUCUAGUGCAAUGACAUGUGAUAUGGUGACCUAUAAAGAAGAGAUAUAGGUGAUGGUGAAGUGGUAUGUGGUGUAGUGACCUUUGAGAUAGAAAAUAGAGGUAAUGGUAGGUUGGCAGGUGGAGUGGUCUUUGGUGUAGUGACAUCAAUUAUAAAUGUCUCCAAGGGAGGAAAUAAAGGUGAUGGUAGGUAGUAAAUGUUGAGGUGGUCUUUGAUAUGUUAUGCUCUAAGAGAGAAGGUAUAGGUAAUGAUAAUAGGGAAUUUGACAUAGUGGUGUUGGAAAUAAAAAGUGAAAGUGACCGUAGAGGUGAAAGGGCAAGUGUAAAAGCCUCAAGUACGAAUGGAGUAAUUAAUGUGGAUGGUGCUAACAUAGUCUUAGGUGGAUACACAAAUAGUCAUAGUCAUCAACUAGCUUGCCCACCAUCUGUCUUUCUGCUAGUGAUAGGUUACAUCUUAAUAGUAAUGGCCAACAUAAGUGGUGUGGAUCCGAUUUUUUUACGUGUGUCCCCACUCAAUCGACAAGACUUAUUUUUUAUUAGUGAAAAAUUAAUUUUGGAAAAGUUGGAGUCACCACUUAUUUUAUUUUAUUUUAAAAAGGAAAGUAAAACAAGAAAGAGAACUCUAAAGAAGUGACUUCAUAGUUUUGGAAAAGUUAGUCUUAAAAAAUCCAAGUCUUGGUCCGGAGAUCAGGUUACUUAUUGGGAAGAUACCUCUAAGAGGUAAUACCCCUCUAAACCCUAAAGAAGUCUCUAAUGACUAAGUUGAGGAGAAUGUGGUAAUUAAUUAAUUGAUUGAGGGUACCUAGGUAGACUAAGGUGAUUUCAGAAUUAACAUACCAAGCUAGAAAGUCCAAUCAUGAUCAUAAAAGAGAGUCAAAGUAUGUACCUGAACUGCUUCUCAAACGCUAUCAUAAAACAUCAAAGUUAGUAUAGAAAUAUAACACAUAAUAUUUGUUUUAUCCAAGCAAAUAAAGCAUACAUCUAAGCACCCAAGAAUCACAUCAAGUAUGGAUAUAGUCAUCAAUAGCAUACGUGUCCAUAGAACUAUCGAAAGUAAAUGUGGAGGAGCGUAUCUGGACAACAUAGAUAACUUAUAAUGUGCUUCCACAAGACAUGGGGGUUAGAUAAAAGUUAUAAUAAUAAUUAGUAAAUGAAAGAAUUCUAGCAUGUUUGGUAUCUAAAUAACAUAGCAAAAAUGAACAAGAGUACACGAAAACAUCAAUUAUCACACGAGUCAUAUUGGCUAGUAUUUAAUCAAUAAACCAACAAUAAAUGACUAUAAACAUAUAAAAUGACAUAUUCAAAGAGACCCAAACAUAAAGAGCCUAGAACACAAGCUUACACUAAAUUUAGAAAACUAAAACAUGGAAUUUUAAAAGCAUAAAUUAGCAAACAAAUUGAUGGAAACUAAAUUUAGAUAACUUAAGAAUAUUUUUCUUAUCCUUCAAUUUAAAUCAGUAAGCCAACAAUAAAAAAUUAUAGAAACAUGGAAUAUCAAGAUCAAUGGGAUACCUAAACUAUAAUUUUUAAAAGAAAAUAAACUAAGCAUAAUAUCUACAAAGCAACUAAACUAACAUUUUUUUAAAAAUAAAUUAAACAUGACAUUAAUGGAGUAACCAAACUAAAUUAAAGUAAACUAAAAACAUUUAUGAAUUUUCAAACAUGGAAUCAGCUUUCUUAGUAAAUUAAAAUUAUUAAAAUAAAAUCUAAGCUUAAAAAUGAAUUAAAUACUAACUAAAGCAAAUCUAAAACCAAAUAUUUAACACAUAGGAUCAAUUAUAUUAACAAACUAAAAUUUUAUAAGAACACUUAAACCUAAAGUUGAAUUAAAAACUAACCAAUUUUUAAAACUAGAUCUUUAACCCAUAGGAUCAAUUAUAUUAACAAAUAAAUAAUAAAUAAUAAAUAAAUAAAACUCAAACCUAAAGAUGAACUAGAAAUGUACCAAAGUAAAUUCAAAACAAGAUCUUUAACACAUUAGAUCAAUUAUAUUGACUAACUAAAAAAAAAAAAAAAAAACACUCAAACCUGAAACGAUGUAUUAGAAACUAACCAAAGCAAAUUUAAAAUAGAGUCUUUAACACAUAGGAUCAAUUAUAAUCACUAACUUAAAUUACAAUUUUUGAAACAUGAACUAAUUAGUGUUGGAUUAAUUAAACUAAUUAACUAAAAAAAACUAUAAACUAGAAUACGGUGAAUCAAGAAUUCAAAUCAACAAACAUAAAAUAUGGGUACAAUGAAAUGAAAAUCUAUUAAACUAAUAAGACGGAAAUAUGACAAACUCAUGAACCCACAUUUUGAUCAACUAGGAAAUAGAAAUUAAUAGACCUGUAGCAUGGAUACAAUGAAAUGAGAUCAGUUAAAUUUAUUUGCCGAAAUUCUAAAAAACACAUACACUCAAAUAAGAUCUAAAUCUAAGACCAAGCAAAACUCAAACUUUCUCAAUCUAAUGCAAUGAAUCAAAACUAAAAUUAAAUAGAAAUCAAACCAUUUUUUUUUUAUCUAAUAUAAUAAAUCAAAGCUAAAACUAAACAAAAUCGAAUUUUCUUAAUUUAAUAUGAUGAGUCAAAGCUAAAAUUGAACAAAGUUCAAACCUUUAUAUAAUGGAUCAAAGUUAAAUCUAAAUGAAAUCCAUACUUCCACAAUUUGAUAUAACAAAUCAAAAAUAAAACUAGAUAAAAAAAAAGUCAAAGCCUUUCAACUUGACAUAGUGAAUCCAAACUGAAACGAAACAAAAUUUUAACUUUUCCAAUGAAACCCAAUAUAGAAAAAAUUAGCUUACCUUCUUUAGAAUAUAUGUAUGGGCCAUAAAGAAGUCACCUUGGUGCAUGUGUUCCUCACUUUGACGCCAAUGGACGACUUUCUAUGGUAGCAAAUGGAGAUCCUUUUUGGUGGUAACUUGCGUGUGGAAACCUAUGGUACAACCAAUGUCAUCUUUUAUUGUGCGUGUGGACCAAUUUCUUCUCGAGAACUCAUGUGUGUUGUGCUCAAAAUAUGUUGCCUGUGAGAAUCUAUUGGUAUACCCCACAUAUGGUUUCCUUGAGAGAAUCUGUGGUUGUGUGUGGGCGUUUUCUUCAUGACAGCAUGUGGAUGUUCCCAUCUAUGGUAGAUUGGUUGUGAUGCUUUAGUGCAUGGUCUCCAUAGGAAUAGUGUGUUAUGGAAAUUUGGUUUUUUUAUUGGUGCAUGUUGUCUAGACUUUCCCAUAUGCGUGGACUGUGUGUUCAUGCUUUUCUUUUCGGAUGGUCGCCUGUGUUAAUGUGUGGCGGUGUCUACAAUGAAAGAUACAACCCUUUCUCUCCUUCUGCGUGAUAGAAAAGUCAAUCCCCCAUGGUGCGACUAUGUUCCCUCGUCCUUUUUGAAAAAUUUUGGUGUUUUCCCCCCAAAAAAUCCCCUCCAAAAAUCUAAUUAUAAAUGUCUGCUUUGGCCUAAUGUGUGUGCUACUUUUUUUUUCCUUCUUUUUAUGGUUGUGCGUGCUUUUCUUGAUACGUGGCUUAUUUCUUAAGGAUAUGAUUCGCUCCCAAUUGGUGUCUCAGCUGAUUCAUGUCCUUUCAAUGGUCCCUGACAGUGGUGCCAUUUGAUUCGUGUCCAGCUGGUGUCCCUUGAUUGUGGUCCUCAGAAGGGAGUAAUCAAUAAAAUUUAUAACCUAUUACACCAUGUAUUAGGAUAGCCUUAGCUAGCAUAGCAUAGUGGCUCUAGGGUCGUUUAUUGGGAUGAGUUUUCACUUCACAAUUGAUAUUAAUUCAAGAGCUGAAUUGGUGCCUUUUCAUUUCAAGGUUAGCUUUAAAAGAAAACAUAAUCUUUGGUGGAAAAAGGUUUGGUUUUAAACUAACCAAAAAUAGUAACUGAUUUUACUUACAAAGAAAAGUGUUCUUUGGAGUUUAGAUCACUAGGCUCAGGUUCCUCAUACAAAAAGGAGAGUUCCGAUCAUUUGUUUCUUUUCCUCGCAUUAGAGAAUUAACAUAUAGUUAAUUCUCUAACCGGUGCGGUACAUAUGCUUCCCAUUAAUGGGUUCAAACACUAAAUACCUCUCACUGAUGCACCUUGCAAUGGCUCGUGCCUCUCACCUAGCAUUUAUCAUUCAAGGUGAUCUUUAACCUUGGAUUACCCAUCAAAAGCUCGCAAGAGAUAACUAAAGGAUGUCUCCUUAGAGUCCAAAAGCUUACCAAGUGUUGGUUAUUCUAGAAAAUCCUACCUUCAAACCACCUCCCAAAGGCUCGCAAGAGAUAAACAAGUGCAUCUCAAUGGAUGAAGAUCACUUGCCUUACCAAGUUUUGGCCCAGAUGAUUUAAUGACAUUUUAAGUUAACUAAAAAGAUAAAAACCAUUAACGGGUCACACUUUCUCUUCAUUAAAAACUAAAACAACAAAACUUCCAAUUUAUGCAUGAGGAAACUUACCUGGCUUUCUUCACUUCAAGAGAUGAAGAGCCUAGCCACUCAUCAUUUGAGGAAAAAUCCUCAGAGUUUGAUUUGCUAGAAAUAAAAAUAAUGAGAAAACAAAAAUAUAUAUAUGAAAAACAGAGCAAGUUCUCUGUAAUAUAUUUUUCUUCCUUAUACAAAAGGUUGUCUCUAAGAACAAGUUCCCGAGAUCUAUCUGAUUGUAAAUAAAAUUACAACUAUAUAUAAGAGGUUAUUCACCCCUUUGUUCUUUCUUAAAGACUAAGGAAUCCUAUGAUAGGUGGGUUACAAGGAGAGUUUGGGGAUUUAGACAUCAAAUAUCUAAAGCAAAAUAUCUCAAGAUGUUAGUCGGAAAUAUCAGGAAGCUUCAGGAGAACACCGCGACACUGUAUACUGAGAGAAAAACUCUCCGGGUAAGCUCUAUCAAAGGAUCCAGACAUGUCUGACUGGGAAAGUUGAAACGUCCUUCUCUCCCAUCCGGAUGUGAGAUAUCCGGAGAAAGUGAAAUGUCGGUCGGACAGAAUUCUUUCCCCGGGUGGAAUGAGUUGUGUUGCGCGUCGCAAGGGGGACCGUCUGCGUGUACAAGUUGUAGGGACCCCUCUCCCGGAUGACACCGAGCGCGUAAGGCUAUCCGGAUCAACUCCAUUCGGAUUCCCCAAGAGGACAUGUGGCGUGCUCCCCUAUCAGGACUCCCUUAGGGAGAAGCACACGACACUCGUGAACAUCAUACCCGGACGAUAGCAUGUCCUAUCCGGAUGUGUUGUCCGGAUCAUUGACUAAAGUGAGCAAGCCUUGCUACGUCAUUCGGACAGCUUGCCACAUACCAUGUUCCGUCGCCAUCUGAUGGUGUGUCCGAACGCCUUGUCCGGACAUCUUUUGCUCCUUGCAUUCCGGAUUUGCUUAUGACAAAGGACUUCAAAGCUUCGGUUCUUCAUGUUUCUGAGCUUUCCAUUGCUUUGCCAUGGAUUCCAAAGAACUCUCCUUAAUCACGGAUUGCUUUGGUGAUCAAAAAGUUAUCAAAACACAAAAACUUAACAUAGUUUGAUUAGAAUUGAUUGCAAGGGUUCUUAAUAUGUUAAUUGGGUUAAAAGGUGAUAACUACUACUCAAAAGUGUUUAUAAGAAUUAAUUACAAGCUAUGAAAUAACACUUUUUGAGUAGUAAUCAGGAUACAUCCUAGUUUUUCAUGGAAUUGAUAGUGGGUUGUUGUGCAUGAAUGCCACCAUUUCAACUAUGCUGUUGUUAUUUUUAAAAAAAAUAUGGAUUAUGCGCGAGUGGCAAUUCUCCACUAUGGAAAGUGGAUUGCUCCUUCAACCCAUGCAUGGCUACGUAUUCCUAUGUCUUUCUACUUGUGUUUGAUCCUCCAAAAAAAAUUUCGGUUUAGUGCUAGUAGAUUUUAAGUGGUGGAUCCCCAUUUUUUGAAAAUGAAGUGGCAGCCUCCCAUUUCAAGACAAAAUGGUAGCCUGCCUUUAAUCUUUGGAGAAAAAUCUGUGCAUGACCUUUUUUUUUCCCAAAAAAUCCGUGCAUGGUGUCCUUUAAUAUUUGGAGAAAAAUCUAUGUUGGAUCUUUUCUUUUCUAGAAACAUUUGUGUGGUCUUUUUUGUUAGCCCAAGGGUUCUUCUAAUCAAGUUUUGAUGAUAACAAACCAUGGUUAAGUGACUAAUUGGUUUAAUGAUUAAGAAUCUCAAACAUAAAAUCGAAAAUUCAUCAAAGGACCAAAUGGAUACAAGAUCGAGACGCUUGGAAGACUUGUAAUCAUAGGAAACUAAUGUAAGAUGAAUGCAUGAGUGCACUUAGGAUUUUCACACGUUUCAUGCAACUUAGAAAACCCAGUUUAUUCUUUAAAACUUCAUCCCAGUUUAUUCUUUUUAUGGUUGUGUGUGCUUUCCUUGAUACGUGGCUUAUUUAUUAAGGAUACAUCCCAGUUUUUCAUGGAAUUGACAGUGGGUUGUUGUGUGUGAAUGCCACCAUUUCAACUGUGCUGUUGUUAUUUAAAAAAAAAAAAAAUGGAUUGUGCGCGAGUGGCAAUUCUCCACUAUGGAAAGUGGAUUGCUCCUUCAACCCAUGCAUGGCUACGUAUUCCUAUGUCUUUCUGCUUGUGUGUGAUCCUCCAAAAAAAAUUUUGGUUUAGUGCUAGUAGAUUUUAAGUGGUGGAUCCCCUUUUUUUGAAAACUAAGUGGCAGCCUCCCAUUUCAAAACGAAGUGGUAGCCUGCCUUUAGUCUUUGGAGAAAAAUCUGUGCAUGACUUUUUUUUUCCCAAAAAAUCCAUGCAUGGUGUCCUUUAAUAUUUGGAGAAAAAUCUAUGUGGGAUCUUUUAUUUUCUAGAAAAAUUUGUGUGGUCUUUUUUGUUAGCCCAAGGGUUCUCCUAAUCAGGUUUUGAUGAUAACAAAUCAUGGUUAAGUGACUAAUUGGUUUAAUGAUUAAGAAUCUCAAACAUAAACUCGAAAAUUCAUCAAAUGACCAAAUGGAUACAAGAUCGAGACGCUUGGAAGACUUGUGAUCAUAGGAAACUAAUGUAAGAUGAAUGCAUGAGUGCACUUAGGAUUUUCACACGUUUCAUGCAAUUUAGAAAACCCAGUUUAUUCUUUAAAACUUCAAUUUCAUUAAAACCCGAGUUUUUAACUAAUGUACCUUAGGCAAAAUGUUUUAUAAUUGGCUUAAUAAUUCACCUAAAUACAUUUUCUAAGUGUUAGAAAAGAAAGGAAUUAAAAAAAGGUUUUCGGGGCAAAAAAGGCUCAACCGGUCGAGGCUAUGGUCAACCGGCUCAACCGGUUGAGGAACCAAUCGAUCGGUUGUGCUUGUCCGAUCGAAGACCAAUCGAGGGAUGCCAAAAAAUUUCUCUCUCUCCUAGUGGCCUUCUCUUCCCGGUCGAGGUUCGGUCUAGGCAACGGUAACAUGUCAAGCAUUAAAUGCUCCGACGACUAGUGAAUCGGUCGACCCCUAGCCCGAUCGGACGAGGUUGCCUUUUGCUGUUUUUGACUCCCGAGCUUAGAAACCUAUAAAUUGAGAGCUCCACUUCAUUUAUUGAUAAAAGAGAACACUUGCAUUCAAUAGUCUACCUACCUUUUCUUGAUCAAAAAGCUCUCAUUUCCUUCAUAGUGCAUUAAAUCAUCACUUGCAUAUCCUUUAGUGCACUAUUGUGUGUCAUCCUAGCUUUGUUUUGUAUUUGAGCUAUCCUUAAGCUAGGUUGAGGGAUUAUUUCUUAUAAAAAUCUGAGUGUUAAAGCCUUCAAGAGAUUUGAAUCUUGAAGAGAUUGUGUAAGAGCCCAUUGGAGCCGGAGUCCAAGUGUAAGAAGAUUGGAAGCUUGGUUGAAGCUUCAAGUUAGUGGAACCCUCACUCGGUUAGGAGGUUGAGGAGAGUGGACGUAGGUAAGGAAGUGUCGAACCAUUAUAAACCCGAGUUUGAAUUCUCUAACUCUAUCUCUUUAUUUUGCUUAUAUUGUGUUUGAAUUUGUUGUGAUUGAAAAGAUUUUAAAAACCUAAUUCACCCUCCCCCCUUUUGGGUUUUUUUUUCUUAAUUAAGCAUAACCUUUGUUUUCUAAUUUUCUUUUUAGGAAAAUCCAUGCGUGGUAUGUCCAAACUCUCCAAGUGGCAGUCUGCCUUCUUCUAAAAAAUUUGUUUCUAUUUCUUUAUUCGACUACCUUCCAUGUCUUCCUAAUGAGUGCUUGUGCUCAAUGGUCAAUCCCUGGUGGUUGCCUCCUUUUCCCAUAUAUACGUGUUGCAAAAUCAACAUCCCACUAUAUGUGGGUUGCCUCUAUGGCAAGUUCACAUUUCCCACAUGAAACCUAUGAGUUUCCACCAAAAAUUGCCAUGAAAAAGUCUUUAUAUGCAUCUCAUGCAAUAAAAAGUCAAGCCAAUACUCAUCUUAUCUCGAAAAAUAAGUAACCAAAAUCAAGAUCAUGCCUAAGUGAACUAUGCCAAAAGAAGUGUCCAAGUGACCUAUUAUGAAAAAAGUGCCUAAGUGACCUAAGGUGAAUGUGUGUAAGCUGGAAGGUGUCUAGGAUGUUUAGGACAAUGCCUAAGCCUAAAAUAGGGUUGCCAAGGGUCACAAUGGGGUUAGAUAAAUCUCUCAAUCAGAGUCUCCAAGGUGGCUCAUAAAAGAUAAGCUACACGAGUAAUGAUGGGCCACCAGGGAAUUAUUGUAAAGCACCAAACGAACACAUAAUAGGACAUGUGUUAGAAUGAAAAAAUGGAGGGUUUACAAGUGGUCUCAUGGAUGAGCUUGAUAAUUUAAAUGACUCACAUAAUGAACGUAUGUGAUGUUUCUCUCCAAUAACAAGCAAAACAUCACUAGCAAUAUGAUGAAUGUCUCCUAAAUCACUUGAAGUAGUCCUAGCAAAUCAAUUAGAAAAAUCACACAUAUUGCUCUAAUGUAAUAUUAUAUACAUCUGUCAAUGAAUGGGAGAACUAAUGACACAACCAUCAUGUUGAUAUCUCGAACCCUCUAAUCUCAUAUGUAGGUGGGAUCACACUUAGAAACUCAUAACACAGUAAUGACCAAUCUAAGUCAAAAUGUGUUGGUGAUCGGAGGCCCAUGAAUAUGAAGUUCUAGGAUGAUAAUGACAUCUUAUAAAGUAAUGAUCAUCUCCUUAAUAGAUAGGUGAAAUGUGUGUGUCUUAGGACACCAUCUCUCAACAAGACUUGUGAUCAAUCCCCAGUCUAGUGUAACAUGCCUAUUAUGACAUCCAUCGUAAAAUCUAGACUAGAUAAUAUAAGGACAAAUGUGAGGGUUCAUCUCCCUUUCCCACAUAAAUUUAAAAAAUUAUUAUUGACAAGUUAAGACCAAACUAAGUUGCAAAAUAUAAAUAAGUCCAUUAGAUAACAAAUUUAUGUUUUCUCAUUUUCUCAUUUUUAAAGAGAUAUUAUGUGCUUCCAUGUACAUACAUGCUAAAGUCAAUUAUACGAGACUUAUAUCCAUCUUGUAGAACCAAAUCGAACCUAUCUAAUAGAUCCAGAUUAGAAGUAUGUCCUCUAUACUCCAUAUUUAUAACACAUUUAUAAAGAUAAAUGCUAAAAAAAUGUUAAAGAUAUAAAUUUAAUGAACCAUACUUUAUGAUUUUAAUUCUCAAUUAUUGUUCAUAUUUAUAAGAGAAAAGUUAAAAAAAUUGAUAGAGUUUUCCCUCUAUCAUGGACAUUAUCCCAAAUAAAAAUAAAUUGAUUAUGCAAAUUACAUUAAUAUUUGUAACCAAAUGAUCAAUAACUAUCUUGUAUCAAUUUAGUAAAUAAAUUUAAGUAUAUCUUUUCAUUUAUGACUAACAAAUAACUCAUACUUGUCCAAUAAAAGCCACACCUAAUUUCUAAAAUUUUGUCUUCACCUCAAGUGAGUGUUACAUUGAGAAAGAAAAAAUAUGAAAGAAAAAAUGAACACCUUUUUCUUUUAAUAAAAAAAGGCCAUAACGAAACAUUAAAUCUCACUGUUACACCUAUCUUCAAUGGAAACAUGAGGAUGUGAAUGGUGGCGGUGAUAUUCUUUGCUUGAAGCUCAUAAACAAAUAUUCCUUACUAAGCCUAUGCCAUUUAGUAUUUCAAUAGUGGACCCCCCCCCCCCCCCCCCCCCCCUCCUUGCAUUUCAGAUUUAGCAAACUUAGAACCAAAUAACAAAGUGCAUUUGAACCCAUAAAGAAGUAAUGAGACUCUCCUAUAUUGGCAAUAGAAGAAAUUUUUGGAGGUAUAGGAGAUUCACGGAUGAAGAAGUUGGGCCCCAAUUGAGAUAAGACCCAAGAAAAGAUGGGGUAGAGAGGGAUGGUUGGAAAUUGUAAAGUAAGAUUUUCAAAAUGUAGUUGAUGACUAAGAUUUUGACAAUUUAAAAAAGGUUUAAAAAUGUAGUUAGCAAUCGGGGUUUUGUAACAUUUAAAAAAUAAAAUAAAAUCUCAGGCCACAUGGUAGCCCAUGUGAUUCAGAAGCUUGAGAAUUAUUUUAUAAGAAGACUUAAUUUGUGAUUUUUUUAUAACUAUAUUAUUUUUUUUCUUAACACACGAAAAAAAUUAUGAAAUAAGACAAUUUUCCUAAGAAAGCAUGUAAGUGACUCUUGGUUAUUUUAUUUAACUUCUUCUAGUUUGGAGAGGAUUAAUACCUUUGCUUUUACUCACUUGCUUGGAUAUGUACACGUUGUUCAUGUCACUUUUCAUUUAAUUUUCUGAUUAAGGGAAUUGGAACCGUACGUAACUGUCUUUAUUCCCUCUGAAACUUGGACUUGGAGUUGGACUUUCAAUCUCAUCAGUCGUGUUUCCAUAAAAAAGAAGAUGGAUUAACCAAUUUUCCUAUGCCUACUAAUCAUACACAAAACUCCACUUCCAAAUAAAAAGGAAUGGGAUAUCACUUGUUAAUAGUGGCUAAAGACUAUUAAUAACCAUGCAAAGAAAUGUCACAUUUUUUGUUCUACGCAAAUUUUAUUCAUCAACUACUAGAACCAUUUCAUACAAUAGUAGCUUUUCGAUCCUUUGAUAAAUGGACACUUGAUGUGAUAACACCAACUACACCUAUAUAUUCAAGCAAUCAUGCGUAUAUAAUAGUGGAUAUGGAUUACUUCUCUAAAUGGGCAAAAGUUUUGUCAUUCAAGGAAAGUGAACGAGGAAACACAAGUUUACUUUCAUCGGAACUAAUAUUAUAUAUUGAUAUGACUUCCCAUUAUUACUUACGAUGGAAUAUGCUUCCAUAAAAUGGCCUAGAUGAACAAACUAUCCAAGAAGUUUGGGAUCAAAUAAUAUAUAUAUAGUUCAUGUGUGAUUCUUUGGUUGACAACCUUGUUAAGGGGUGAGUGAAGCACUUUGGGCAUACCACAUACUACAUGCUAGACUUCCACCCAAGCUACCCUAUAUUCCUUAUGAACAAAGUAGAAGUUGUCAUCUCUCUUGAAUACCAAAUCCUUUCACCUAAUAAUGCUAUCUAAAAAGGUCUUAAAAAGGAUAAAAAUGCGCAUAUUUGAAUUUUUGAAUUAGGAGUGCUACUUAAAAAGAAGCUAGAUAUACAAUAAUAGAAUGUUAUCAAGCAUAUCUCUUCAAAGUUUUUGACCAAAAAAUAUAUGAUUUCUCAUUUUAGGUAGGAGACUUAGUACUCACUAUUCAAAAACCAAUUAUCAUUACUCAUAAAAACUAAUAGAAAGUUUGGGCCAAAGUAGGAUGGACCUUAUAUUAUGCAACAAUUAUGCCUAUAAAAUUGUUGCAAAAGAGGUUUUAGAAUCAAAUCAAUGAAUGAAAAAUUAUUAAAGCAUUACUAUGCUUGAAGGCUAGUCAUUUUCCCUUAAAGUGCAAUAUUAAGUUGCAUAGUACUAUGUGGAUCCGCAUUUUUCACAUGCGUUCCCACUCAUUGUCGAGACUCACUUUUUAGAAGUGAAAAAUUAGUUUUAUUAAAGUCGAAGUUGCCACUGGGGAUUUGAACCCUAACAAAAGGUUCAAUUUAAGGAUAAAAAUAUCGAUAAUCACAUAUAUAUAUAUUGGUACUUUGAUUUUAUGAAUAUAUUGAAGAAAUAUGGACAAAUAUUUUGACACAAAAUAUGUACAAAAUAAAAAUUAUAUAAAAAGUAAAAAUAAAUAUUUUAAAAUUAUUUUUUUAAAUAUAUAUAUAUAUAAUUUGACAUAUUUGAUAAUAAUAUAUAAGGGUCUCCAAAAAGCCCGUGGCCCGCUUUAGGCCCGGUCCGACCCGACAGGCUAAAGCCCGGCCCAAGCCCGCCGGGCCCAAGCUCGGCCCGAGCCCGUUUAUGGGUGGGCCGGGCCGCGAGCCCGUAGGCCUGCUCCUUUAAAAAAAAACUACAAAAAUAAAAAGUAUUAAAAAAAAUAUUCAUUUCAAAAUUUUAUUCAUUGAAUGUAUAAUUACAUUUGAAAAUGUGGGAAAAGUUUACAUCACUACAAAAUAAAUACAUCCCAACUAGGUUGGCACCUAUUUAUUUGUCAAUCAUCUGUAUUUUUCAACCACAAAAAAUAAAAAUAAAAAUAUAAUAUACAUUUAGUCAUUAUUUUCUGGCGGUGAUGGCGAACUAUCAUGCAUCCAUGAAGAUCUUGAUAAUUUUAAAGAUUCCAUAUCGGUAAGCAUCUUUGUUUCUCGAAUGGAAUCAUACAUCCUUUUAUCUGCUAUUUCCCAAUCUUUCACACAUAUCCCUGCUUUAAUAACAUCUGACGCUAAGUUGCAUCGUUUUUUACUAACUACUCUUCCACCUGCACUAAAAGCAGCUUCUGAUGCAACUGUACUCACAGGAACUGUUAGUACAUCACGAGCAAUUAUAGAAAGCACAGGAUAUUUGUGUUGAUGUGAUUUCCACCAUAUUAAAAUAUUAAAAUCUUCUUGAUCUUCAAAUGAAAUUAUAUCAGUAUUAAGAUAUUUAUCUAAAUCAGAUGUAUUAUUUGGAGAAUUAUUUGUUGUCUUUUUUCGACUUUUCAACAUUUCUAGAGCUCCUUUAUAAAAAGAUGAGGAGUUUGUAGAUGUAGGUGGUAAUUUAAUAGUAUUAAUAUCAUUACCAUAUUUUUCUUUAUAAUAGUUAUAUAAAUUAUAUAAUAAUGAAUUUAUUUCAUUUUUAAUUUCUUCAAUUUUUAUUUGGUCAUUAAAAUAAAUAAUUGUUAACCAUUCAUCCAAAGCUUCAAAUUUCAAUCUAGGGUCCACAAUUAAAGCAAUAUAAAAAAUUAAAGGUAUUUCUCCCCAAUAUUUUCUAAAUUUUUAUAUCAUUACAAAUAUUGUAUCAUUAAAUAUUUCAAAACUUAAAUAUUUUUGAAGUACAAUAAAAAUAUUAGUUAUUUGCGUAAUAACUCGAUUUGAAGUUGGAUAAUAUACACCACAAAAAAUGUUUGUUGAAGUAUCAAAAAUUUCAAAAAGAUCUCUUAAAACAUCCGCAAUAUGCCAAUCAUAAUCAUUUAAUGCAUAAAUAUCUGCUUCAUAAUCAUUGUUAAUUAAUUGUAUUUCAUAUAAUUCGACUACUUUUCUAUAUUUUGUAAUAUUUUCUAAAAGUUUAUAUGUGGAAUUCCAUCUAAUAGCCAUAUCCAAAUUUAUAUUUUUUCUUUUCAUAUUUAACAUUUUGCAACAAUCAAAAAAUAAUUCAUGUUUUGCUUGAAAACUAUUAAUACUAUAUGCAAUGCCUCUAAUUUUUUUCCAAUGUACUAUCAACAUUUUUUAAUCCAUCCUUUACAAUUAAAUUUAAAAUAUGUGCACAACAACGCACAUGAAAUAUUUUAGCAUGAUCUUCUUUUACUUGCCAAUAUCGUUUUAGUCUAUGUAUUGCUGCAUCAUUAUUAGCAGCAUUAUCUAAUGUUAUUGUCAAUAUUUUAUCACGAAUGCCUAAAUCUAUAAUUUCAUCAUUUAUUAAAGAUGCUAUAUUUUUACCACUAUGUGGAGUAUUUAUUAAUUUAAAUAAAAUUAUUCUUUUAUUUAAUUUCCAUUCAUUAUCAAUGUAGUGAACAAUUAUAUAUAAAAAACCAGUAUGAGUUAAAGAUGUCCAAAUGUCAGAUGUUAAACGAAUAUUUCCUUCAAAAUUUGCAAAAUUUUUUUUUAAAAUUUCUUUUUGUGUAUAAAUUUUUUUCAUAAUAUCUCUUUUAACUGUAUUUCCAGAUCAACCUUUAAAUUGAGGAUUAAUACCUCGUUGAAUUGUUCUUGCAAAAUCAUGAGUUUCCAUCAUGUUGAAAGGUUGUUCUGCUCUUAUUAUAUAAUCAAUCAUUUCUUCACAACAGUUAGAUUCAUCAUAAGAAAAUGUUUUUAAAUUUCCACUUUCAUUUUUACUUAAUUGCAUAUAAUUUCUAAUAUCUACAUUAUUUUUAGUUUUACAAUUUUCAUGAUGUCUUUUUAAAUGACUUGUAUCUGCAUUUGAGCCACCAGUAAGAAAUUUAUUACAAAUUUUACAUUUUGCUUUUAUUUUUUUUUUAUUAUUUUCUAAAAUUAUUUCUAUUCUAUCAAAAAAAUUCCAUAUAUUUAAAGUAAAUUUUUUGUUUGAUGAUAUUUCAUCACAUGGACUAGACGAAGAAGCACUUGUCAUAUUAUAAUUAUUGAUAAAAUAUUAUGCCAAAAAUAAUAAAGUAAUAAAUAUAAAAAAAAAUGUAACAAAAAAAAUAAAGUAGUAGGGGUGAAGUAUGUUACUCAAUUAGAGAACCUAUGCAGAAAUUCCUAGCAAAUUUGAACUCUUGGAGCCACCAAUGCUUGUUUUGCACCAUCAACAAUAUUGUAUAAUUUGAGGGAAAAAUAAAAGAAUUUAAAAUAUUGUAGAAUGUGAGAGAAAUAGAGAGAAUUUGAUGAAAAAAUGAAAAGGAAGAAAAUGUAUUUAUAGGAAGGUUAAAAAUAAUAAUAAUAAUAAUAAUAAUAAUAAUAAUAAUAAUAAUAAUAAUAAUAAUAAUAAUAAUUGGCCAUGUGACCGUUGGAGGCUUAGCUCCAACGGUCACAUGGGCUGGAGCUAGGCUCCAACAGUCACAUGACCGUUGGAGCCUUUAAUUUUUUUUUUUAAAAUAAUAUACUUUAUUUUUAUAUAUAUAUAACUAACUCAAUUAAUAAACAUAAAAAGAAUAUAGUUCAGUUGGUUAGAACCUUGAAGUUUAAACAUGAGGGGAGGGGUUUGAAUCCCUCCCUCUCCCUUAGGGGCUUUUUUAAAAGCCAUUUUGGCUUAUUUCAAAAAGCCUGUCGGCCCGACCCGCCCUGCAGCCCGCGGGCCUAGCAUUUUAGCAUGGCCUGGUCUGUUGACUAGUCAAAUGGCUCAUAGGCUCGGCCCGAACUGGGCCGCGGGCCUCUUAUUUACGGACCGGCCCGACCCGGCCCGCCCGUUGGAGACCCUUGAUAAUAUCUUCUAUAUUAAGUUACAUUAUAGUUUAUUUUACAAUAUUAUUAUGAUAAUAUGUCUAAUUUUAAAAUAUAUUUAAUAUUAAAAUUAUGAUCUAUUUUAAUUUAAAUGUAUUCAAUGAUAUCAAAUAAAUAAUAAUAUAUGUAUAAUUCUUUUAUUAUUUAUAUUUAUUAUUUUUAAUAAAUAUAUAGAUUAUAUAAAAAAGACCGGAUAUAUCUUUUCAAAUUUUGUAUCGCUCUCCAAGGAUAUUAGAUGUAUGGGAAUUUGUAUUGCUAUCUACGGAUACGUUGAUAUAUGGGUGAUUUAUCAGGAUAAUUAGAAAUUCUAAUUAUGUAAGCAGGUACGGAGUUCUGUGUCGGUGCGAUCUUGUCGACAACAGCUCCAAAUUGUGCAUCUUGCUCAUAGAGAGUAGCGGAAUGCACCAAUCGUAGGCUCAGAGUACCACUGAGUCGUCUGGCAGAGACCCAACUGAAGGUGCCUGUGUUGUUCCUGAUCUGAUCAGGCUUCAAACUACAAGGUGGAAUACUGGUUCCCCUAUAUCAGAAGCUGGAGAUACCCACCCCAUAUGCUCGUCUGGAUGUGCUCCUACCCUUUGAAGCCUUCUUCCGAGUCAAGUCCGAAUUGAUAAGGCUAGUGAGUUCCCAACCAACUGUACUCAGCAUGCUGCCAGGUGGAGACCCUCCAUAUUUGAUGGCUUCCUAAUAUUAAAAUGCUGACCACUGGUCUUCAUGUUCCACAGGCUUAAUUGUGUCCUUUGCUGAAAGAAUGGAUAGUGAUCCAUUUUAACACAUGAUUCACGCCGUCUUUGCCAUUCUUCAUGGUCUAGCCCUUUUAUAUAUAUGCUUCCUGAACUGUUGCUAUUAAUAAAAUGUGGUAUCUAUCCCGUACACCUUCCUGAUGGCCAGCGAAUGCAGAAGCUACAGAAACGGUUCCAUCUUUUGCUUCCGCCACUUUGGCAUCCUCCAUGAUGAGAUCGAAGGUGAAUAAUCAUAUUCUGGGGAUUUAUGUCCUGGAUAUUCUCAGUAAUGCCCAAUUUCCUGGUGCCGGCCUCAUUUCCAUGGGAACUGAUGGAUAACUUAAGGCUUCUACCAUCUGCGUGGUUCGCUUCUAACACAGGAAACUUCACGGCUAAAAGCAAGAUACCAAGAACAUCAAGGCUGUGACAAAAAUUAGUAUUUUUAACUUGUAGGAAUUUGAAAGGCAACCAACCAUCUAGCUCUGUUCUUAAAGCUCCCAUAGGAGGAUCAGAGGCUGGAUUGCUCAAGAUGAACUCAUCCAUUGUUGCACUUAAAAAGAAUUGGCAUGAAUUGUGGCCGCUCUAAUAGGUUCCCUAAACCAUCAUCCAAGUGGGCUUGCGGAAGGUAGCGAGUUUAAAACACCUAGGGCGAUGAACAGUGGACUGUGAUGCUCACAAAAGAGAAAAGGAAGAAUUCAAUAAUUCCUAAGAAUCCAUUUGCCUGUCAUCCAAAUUUUUAUAUUCUCUUCAGUCUGACGCGUUAUGCCAUAUAUUAAAAAUAGCGGCUUCUUCCAAGCCGAGACAGACUGUGCAAAGUUCGCAAGGCCAAUCAUCACCAUAAUCUGAAGUUGGCCUCCUCAAUCGCAGCUUGUAUCCGAAUGCUCACUUCACGGGAUGGAUUGUAAUGAAAACUAAUCUCAGUCCCAGCUAUGGCAGCAUCCUCACUUGACAGCAUUUUCUGCAUAUUCUAGAACAAAGCAAUAAACCCUCAAAGGCUCCUUCGGAUCAGAGUUAGAAGACUGUCCCUCAGGAACGUGAACACUAUGGUGGUUCUGAUAAGCAGUGAUAUUGCAUUAGAGCCUUUUGGAACAAGAGGAUCUUUUCAGGUGGAAACUGUAAACUGCUUCAUGUUGGGCUGCAACCUUUUCUUCAAGCAAUACUUUCUUUCUGUAUCACGACUUAUGUUGCUUCCGGAGCCAUCCCGUGUGGACUGCCCUUCAGUGAAAGAAUAUGUGUGUUGACAUGUUGGAUUGUAAUCUUUGUUCCACUCUAAUGGCUUUUGGUCCUCCUCUUUCUCUUUAUGACAGAGAACCAUUUAGUGAUCCAUCUCUAUAUUGUAGCAUUGCUGGUGCUUUGCAAUACUACACUCUCACCAAGCAUAACAUCUAUUUUUCCGUGACCAAAGUAUGUCGGUUUAUGCAUGCGCAAACUCUUAUUCAUUGGCAAGUUGUCAAGCGUAUCUCAUGAUUUCCCAAAGCCACAAGUUCUUAUGGUCUUUCUGUUCAAGCUUACAAUGAUCUAUCUUUUCUUGGUUAUACUGAUGUCGAUUGGGCUAGUUGCCCUGAUAACAAGCACAAUACUAGUGGGUACAACACUUUUCCUGGUCCUAAUCUCAUUUCAUGGGCAUUUUCAAAGCAGAAGGUUGUGUCUCACUCCAAUAACGAAUCUGAAUAUAGGGGACUCACUAAUUAAUGUUGUUGCCAAGGUCACUUGGAUUG
rnacentral:lncRNA from 1 species